rnacentral:lncRNA from 1 species
AGAAGUUUAGUGAUUACAGGUCGGAGGAGCUUGCAUACAUGGUGUUCCAUGAAUUGAAUUUAUUUCGUCAGCUACCACCUCAAAUUGAAGUUUUGAGGAAGGCUAUUACAAAAGCAUAACCAGUUGCCGGCACUAGCAAACCAAAAUGUUUCGCGAGGGGAGUCACAAGCUAGCCAUGUUUAUUUCCAUAUCCACCAUGAUUACUUUCCCGACAGAUAUUCGUCCUAAUGUAAACCUAAGUGACGGAGAAUAUUAUUGUACUGCUUUCCGUACUUGCUUCUGCAUUACUGUAUUUUGUAUUAUCUAAUCGUAUAUUAGGUGGCACAAUCGAUGGCUGCAAUGUGCAUUAAUGUUUUAUAUAUUUUCUGUAGUACCUUUUCUCUCCCGUUAUAUACGAGGUCAUUACUACCUAAUACUCCCUCCGUCUCGAAAUAAGUGCCUCAACUUUGUACUAGAGUUUCAGACACUUAGUUUGGGACAGAGGGAGUAUUAUUUACAAUUACAGGUUAAAUCACCAGAACUUAUUUCCAUUCACUGCAAGUAGGCACAACCUUGUACCAGAAGGCAUGCCAAUUUCCUACCAGCUCUUUGAACGUGUCACUCUAUGUUUAAAUAUUUUUCAUAUUUUUAAAUAUGUAAAUUUUCCUGCAAAUCUUUGACCAAAUCAUACAAUGCAGCCUACGAUAUGUCAAGGCUACAUUUUCAUUACACAUACAUUUUUCUUUUUGUUUUCCUGUCACCGAUGUGAUCAAUUUUUUUAUAGUAACACCAUGCACCAUAUAUGGUAAAUCGACCGUAGAUUCUUACGAACUAUCCUUAUAUGGUAACACACUGAAACAAUAAUAGUAAUUCCCUUCAUUUUACGCAGUACUUAUUCCCUCCAUUCAAUCGUGCCGGCAAUAGAUUAGGGAAGAAAUCGUGGCCGCAAUACAUGCGCCUUUCCCGCCCCCACCUCCCCACUAAUCUUGCCGCAGCACUAUAUAAAUAUGUUUCUCCUGCGCACUGAAAUCUCCUACACCUCCCAGUUUCAUCAGAGCUCCCAAGUGCAUGCAAGCCAUGCCUCCUUCAGCCAUUAGGCCUCCUCGCAAGCCAUCCGCCAUGCCACGGCUAUACUGCGCCUGUGGCACACACGCCCAGAGGCUCGUGCAACUCGUUGGAGCUAACGAGGGGAGGUUCUUCUACCAGUGCCCCUAUUGGGAUGUAAGCGCUCCUAUUCUCAUUUCUUUGAUGUAUUUCCAUGCUUCACGUCACCUCGGGUUUUUACAUCCUUGUGCUUGCAGGAUCCAUCGGCUGCAGCCUGCAACAUCUUUAUUUGGGAAGAUAUUCUGGACAAUUACGUUAACCAGAACCAGUGGCAUCUUGAUCUGAAGGUGGCCUUCGAUGCUGCAGACAAUGCCAAGGCACAAACCAUCAAAAUUGCUAGACAGAUGAAGCUGUCCCUUGCUUUUGCCAUUGCCGCUCCUGUUUUUACUUUUCUCAUGUUUUACUACCUAGCUUGAUAUGAUGUACCACUCGAAAUGCGGAGACACUUCAUUGAUGAAGUAUUUUAUUUCCUUUCUUUGUUAGUUGCCUCUCCCAUGUUUUAGUAAUCCCUUGAUAUGAUGUACCGCUCUAAAUGUCCGAGAGACUUUAAUUAAUGUAGUAUUUGCUUUCCUUUCUAUAUUACCAGUGCAAGUUCUGCAGAUGAUACUUCACCGUGUUUUCUAUAAAUUGUUUGAUGUUGUUACCAUUGCUGAUUCGCCCGAGAUUCCAAUAUACCUACAUAAGUUUUGUGAUUGCUUUUUUUGGUCAACGUAAUCCUCACAUGUUUCUCUUGUGGUCUGGGGUCGUAAAUACAUUAAAUAAAUCUAUGGUUAUAGCAAUUCGCAACUGUAGUAAUGCGCUUACUAUCCGCAAGAAUUGGGGCCUCUUGCCAUUAGACAGUAUAUAUGGUAAAAACAACCUGUUACUCCAGUAUAUCCCAUCAAAUGUUUCUAUUGCAGACGGCCGACGUUGUCACAGAUUAUAACCCAAUAGUAAUGGUUACUGUAUAGUAACCGUAAAGCAAAUAACAGUAAGAGUCUUACCACGACUCCUUACUUUCUCAUACCCCACUUACCACCACCAACACGCCAUCAUUUCCUUAACCCCCCCACCCCGUCCUUGCGGAUGUGUGCGUACUAACUGCUCUCUAAUCGCUGAACACCCCCAUCCAUACUCCAUCUCCAUCUCAUCUUCCGAAGCUUCUUCCAUGAUUUCCUGAUGAAGGCAAGAUAUCUCUCGUAAUGGAUCCCUCUCCUGUGACAUUCAAUUUCUCGCAAGGAGCUCCAGCAACUUCUACGCCAACAUCAUGGAAGAACACCGCCGGUGCAUCAUCUUCAUCAUCAUCUGUCCCCUGCAGUCCACCAUCUGUACGAGAUCCACGGAUGCACACUUCCGUCCUCACCCCACCGCCAGGACUCCAACCGGGUGACAUGGUCACCCCUGAUAAAACCCAAACCUACAGUCCGGUAAGUUCCGAUUCAGUUUAAUCUUGUACAUUUUCCCUCUUUGAACUUGGUGUUCCUAUUUCCAAUUUCGUUUCUAUACGCAGCGUGAAGAUAUUUCCGAAGACAUCGUUCCUAAACUGCUGCAAUGCUUUGCUGACGAGAAAGAAGCUUACGAAUUUUAUGUCCGCUACGCAAGUCAUGCUGGAUUUGAUGUUCGCAAGAGUCGCACAAAAAAGACGGUGCGUGAGUUUUGCUGUUCCCGUGAAGGGCAUGCACCCCUACCAAAUCACGACGAAGAACGCAAGCGAGCAAAGAUGUCGAAGAGAACAGGCUGUCGAGCCUUUGUCAAGCUAAGGAAAAAUCUGAAAGAUGGAUCUUUUCAAAUUGAGAGGCUAGUUCAAGAACACAACCAUCCUCUUGUAUCCACGCCCUCCCAACUUAAGUUUAUGAGGGUACACAAAAACUUUGAUCCUUCAUUAAUGUUGUUCGUCGAUCAUUUGCAAGCCGCAAAAGUAAAACACAAGUCUAUGAUCAAUUUGCUCUCAGACAUGCAUGGUAGCCGAGAUAAUAUUCCUUUUCCGGACAGGGACUUGGAGAAUAGGUACCCGUGUUACUCAUUGUUUNNNNNNNNNNNNNNNNNNNNNNNNNNNNNNNNNNNNNNNNNNNNNNNNNNNNNNNNNNNNNNNNNNNNNNNNNNNNNNNNNNNNNNNNNNNNNNNNNNNNCCAGUCGACUGACAGAAAGAUUGACAUCAUAAAGCCUAAGGCCGACUGCCAGCAGUCGACCUUAGCCUUGGGGACUACACCCAGCGGGUGCACUCAGCGUGCCCCCGCUAACACGGAGUUUAUUCGACACACCCAGUGGGUGACUAAUAUAAAUUCCGGAAAAGAAAAGUUUUUGGUAGCAUAUCCAACAGAACAAACAGCGGUCGACUGACCUGGACAUUGCUUUGGAGGGCAGAACUGGCGUCAUAAGCUGCCUGGCUCGCGUCCCGGAUGGUCUUCAGCUGCUCCAUCAUGAGUCCCGCCUGGCGUAUUGCCUCCUUCGCUGCGCCAGCUUGGUCCUCUGGGACGUGGUGCGUCGUAAAGAGGGAGGGCUGCUGAGCACUCGUCAGUGGAUUUGUGAAGGACACCGUGUGUCGAGUGGUGUUCCCUUCCUCCACAGUCAGAAUCUCAGGCGCCGUCACAUCCUGAGGUACCUUACUGGCAGACGCUUUCCGACUCCUCCUGCGUGUCAGUGGUUCUUCAUCCUCGUCGUCGUCAGGGAGAUUGAUAACAGUGUUGGGUGGAGCUGCGGAGAAGGAUCAGGAUCAGAGAUCGCGAGUCAGUCGACUAAGAACGGUGUUAAGAACACAUUACCUGGAUUCGAAGUUGCUGCAUCCUCCAUCUCGUGGUCAUCAGCCCGGGCCGAGGUCUCAGAAGUAGCAGCACUGCAACUCCAAAGGAUCAGUCGACUAACUUCAGCGUCGACCAGAGAUAAAGUUCGCACAGAAUAAGAAAAUAUGAGCAGCACAAUUACCCUGAUAUGGUGGGGAUGGACACCUUCAUCUUCGGCAGGAGCUUGGUCGGCUUUGGCGGAGCCCCCCUAGGCUGCUUCGGCGCCUUUUCAGUCGGCGCUGGAGAAGUGGUCCUAGGGCGCUUGGUCGACUACGUCGCAACCCCCUUGCCACGUUCAGUCGAAGGGUCGUGGACGAGCUUCGACCGCCUUUCCAAGCGCGGUGGCACGACCUCCUCCUCUUCCUCCUCGUCUUCGGCGUCAUCAUCAUCGCUGUCGUCAUCAUCAUCGUCGUCGUCGUCCCCUGCAACGUCCGAGUCCCAUUCCUCCUCGUCCUGGCUCUCGCCCCCACUCGCCUCACCCUCCUCAGUCGGAGUUUGUGCCCCAUUGGGCAUCGAGUACAGCUCGGUGAGGGCCUAGCAGAUAUCAAGACAAUGAUCAGUCGACCAGUCGGCAGAGUAAACAGAGAUGAAUGCGACAAGAAUGCAGUGGAGAGCAGGGCAAGUGUACCUUAUCUGGAUCACUGUUGUGGUCGAGUGGAGGAAUCCUUCUGGCUCCGCGUGGGUUGUCCUUGUUUCCGGUGACGGCUACCAUCCAUCUUUCCAGAGUGACAUCGUCGACUGCUUCUGGAUGGACUCUAGUCUCGUCUUCGGUCCCACAGUACAACCACAUGCAGUGGCUCCGGAACUGGAGAGGCUGGAUGCGACGCCUGAGGAAAACCUCCAGGAGGUCCAUGCCCGUCACUCCCUCCCGAACCAACUGCACCACGCGCUCCAUCAACAUCUUCACGUUAGCUUUCUCCUCCGGAAUCAGCUUCAGAGGGGAAGGCUUGCUCACUCGGUCCAUGGUGAACGGAGGGAGUCCACUCGACUGCCCUGGCGUCGACUGGACCUGGCAGUAGAACCAAGUCGACUGCCAGCCUCUGACGGACUCGGGAAAGGUCAUGGGCGGGAAGGUGCUCUUAUUCCUCACCUGAAUCCCCAGGCCUCCGCACAUUUGGACGACUCGGGUUCUCUCAUCACCUGGGCUCGCCUUCUUCACGGUCUGAGAUCGACACGUGAAUAUAUGUUUGAACAAACCCCAGUGCGGUCGACAGCCCAAGAAACCCUCACACAUGGACACGAACGCGGCAAGAUAGGCAAUGGAGUUUGGGGUAAAGUGGUGGAGCUGCGCUCCGAAGAAGUUCAAAAAGCCACGAAAGAAAACACUCGGUGGCAAGGAAAACCCGCGAUCAACAUGGGUGGCCAAAAGCACACACUCACCCUCUUCUGGCUGGGGCUGCCACUCCUUCCCCGGAAGCCUCGCAUCUCCGUGGGGGAUCAAGCCCUCGUUGGCCAUGUCGAGGAGGUCAUUCUCCGUGAUGGUCGACUGGAUCCAGUCUCCUUGGACCCAGCCCUUCGGCAGGCGGGAUCUAGACGAGGACCCUCCGCGGCUGGUGGAUCUUCCUUUCGCCUUCUCCGAUGCCAACGCCUUCUUUGCGCGCUCCAGCGCCGUCGUCUUCUCCUUGGCCAUGGUCGCCGGCGAGAUGCGCAAAGGGAAGUGGUGCGGGGGCGAGAGCGAGCACGCUGAGCAGGGAGGAAGGAAGCAGAGAGAGGGGAAGAAUGCUAAGGCGCAGCACAGAAAUCCUCGCCGGGCACAUUUAUAAGGUCCCUUCCGAGUGGAUGACAGGUGGGCCCGGGCGAUCUAAUCAUAUCUGGAACAGUUAUGUAGGCGGGAUACGUGGCGAAAAAGGCGGCGCGGAGAUCGAGGCGUCCAUGCCCCGUCCCAUCCGAACGCCGUGGUCCGCCCCGCUUCGCGCGCGCCCCAAAAUUUCGCAUCCCGCGGAAUCCGCGAGCAACAAAUCAGUCUGUCAGGCGCGGUGUUUCCGGCGAUCCGUCGCUCGGAGAUCGUCGAAGCCUGAAAGAUCACUCGACGCAAAAACAGAAUGGAUCAAGUUGACUGAAGGCAAUUUGUUUCCUGUCGACAAAGGGAUUCUUUGGUCCAGAACAGCGCACAACCGGAGCGCAAAGGUUAAUCGGAAACGACAUCAACUCCUUCUUCACUCGAAGCCUCGAUCCAUUCGGGGGCUAAUGAUGGGGUUGUGUACCUAGGGUAGGAUCAUGGACCUGAUCCAAGUAACUUACCCUAGGACAUCCUUAGAAGAGGUCGCCUUCCAGUCGAACAACGAGGAUUCACUCGACUGGCCUGAAGGACUCGACCACGAAGACUCACUCGACCACCAGGAGGUCAAGAGGCACUCUGCACUGCAACGGCCUGUAAUCAAGUAGACUUUAUGAUAGUAAAGGCACUUUAUGUGGGGCGUUACCAGUAACGCCCCAGACUUAACUCACCUUAAACCCUCUCCUGCGUGGGCUGGCUAGGGUCCUGGCGCACUCUAUAUAAGCCACCCUCCUCCACAGGCAGANNNNNNNNNNNNNNNNNNNNNNNNNNNNNNNNNNNNNNNNNNNNNNNNNNNNNNNNNNNNNNNNNNNNNNNNNNNNNNNNNNNNNNNNNNNNNNNNNNNNGUCUCCAUGCAUACCCCGGUUCUUACAUAACCGGUAGGGUAUUCGGACACACUCCGGACCAUCAGGUCCUGAGGUUGAAGCGAAAAGGUCGGCAACAACAAACGAUCUACAAUCCGGCUAGAAGGCAUUACACAUGUCAAUUAAAAAUUACAUAGUCACUUUGACUGAUUGUAUUCCUCUUCAAUACCAUCCAACAGGCUGUCUAACUUACAGUCCUACUGGGAAUACUUGGCGGCCAAUUCUACUUGGCCGUACACUAAGCUCAUAGGGAUCUCCUUCCCGUCAGGCCCCACAGGUCCGACCUCGGCCAUGUGGUUUGGGUCAGCCUUUGCGUACCGCGUCUUCACCAUGGCCUAGGCCUCCCUAGAGCCUUGACGGCAGGCUGAUAUCUUCCACAAUCGGAAGCGCCGCCGUGCUCCCUUUAGCUUCUCCGGCUAGAAGGCAUUAUGAAUGUCAAUUAAAUUACAUAGUCAUUUUGACUGGUUGAAUUCCUCUUCAAUACCAUCUAACAUGCUGUCUAAUUUACAGUCCUGCUGGGAAUACUUUGCGGCCAACUCUACUUGGCCAUAUACUAAGCUUACAAGGAUCUCCUUCCCAUCGGGCCCUACAGGACCGACCUCGGCCAUGUGGUUGGGGUCAGCCUUUGCGUACCGCGUCUUCACCAUGGCCCAGGCCUCCCUAGCGCCUUGACGGCAGGCUGAUAUCUUCCACAAUCGGAAGCGCCGCCGUGCUCCCUUUAGCUUCUCCGGAAGCUCUCCGAGACCUUCGGGCAUGGAGAUGGAUGGCCACAGGGCCUGGGCGACGCCUUGCAUCGCCUGCCGAACUCGAUCGAGUAGUUGCGAGAGCUCGGGAAGAAGGUCACCCAUAGAACCGGGCAUCUCCUCUGCAGGACGACCUGUUAGCACACCUACAGACAUUGCUCUGUUAGUCAACUUCCCCGCCGAACUUUCUUUCAAAGGUUCGUUCAAGCACUUACUAAAUAUGCCGCGCCGAAGCCGCUGAUUAUCCUUCACGGAGUCUGACAGCUGGGCACAAACAUCUUUCAUCUCGACGCCCAGCUUGGUGUUGGCAUCUUGGAGAUCGUUCUUCUCCCGCCUCACCUUUGUCAGCACCUUCUCACCAGCCUUUAGCUGGCGUAGGAGGUGUUGCCUUUCCAGAUUCAAUCCGGCGCCAUCUGCAAUUUCAUUUGUCAGAUUCGCACCAAAGCCGUGCUUCGCAAAAUACUUAUCUUUCGAAGUGUAUAUUACCAGAGGGGGUCUCCUUGGGCUCCCCUGCCGCGGCUAGUGUGGCCUCAAGUUGGGCUUUGCACUCUUCCAGCUCCUUGGACAGUAGGGAAUUCUUUUCUGUAAGAACCUGCAUCACAAAUGAUCCUUAAAUCAGUUAUUCUAACUGUUUCAAGUCUCGGGGGCUACUGGUAUAUACAUAUAAUUACCAGAAUUUUCUUACCCGUAUGUCUUUUACAUACUGCUCCGUGGCUCUGGCUAGACCAUUUUGAGCGGCACGGAGAUACGCAUCUCCCGAGUUGAAGGCAUCUAACGCCCCUUGGGAGAAACAAGCGUCGCGAAGAAUUGUCUAGUGACGCCUGUGGUUCAUGGCACUCUCCACCUUGGAAUUGGUGGCAGACAGCCUGUCCGCAUCCUCUGUCGGAGGAGCAUCCGGUGCACGCCUUGUGUUCAUUUACGCUUUCGGGUCAGGCAUUGGAACCUGGCUGGUGGAGGCGCGAUUGGCAACCUCUCCGGAUGUAGUCCAGCGAGGUCUCUUCGUCCUGAAGAUAGCACGAACAUUAAUAUUCCCUGAAGGAAUAACACCAGGGAAAAAGAGGGCGCACUAUACCUUUGCGCCGGUGUCUCAGUCCAGACUACAUUCCUUUUUACCCCACGGGGCCCUACGGCCCCUCGUUGGCUAGCCGCCGUAGGUUCGGCCUCCCACCUCGGAAACCUCUCCUGCAAAACACGGUCGUUGUCAGGAAAACUGAAAUGCGUGAGAAUGGAUUCCUUCUCAAGGGGAUGAGACUCCGCUCUCUGUUACCUGGGAGGCCGGAAUUAACCCUGGGUAAUCAGCCGUAAUGGCCACUGAGGUGUUGUCCUUGCUUAGCUGAUGAAACACCCCGUCGAUCAGCUCCACCGAUAUGUCCGGAUCCUCUUCGGAGUCCAGAUCGAGGGAUCGUUCUGGAUCCUCGGGCUGUGGGGGACGGCUGUUUAUAUCCUUUACUUCCUGACGCAGUUCCUGCGUUGAAGUCAUUAGACUACAUAUUUAAUCAUGGGAAUAUAAAACGGAUGGGCAAGCACAAUUGUCCACUUAUCCAACUCGGAGGGUUGUACAUAGUAAAUCCGCCCUGCGGGUUGACGCGGAGGAAUUCCUCCUCUUCUCCCUUGUACAAAGAGGAUAAGAUCUUUACUAGAGCGGCAGCUGAGGCUGGCCCCUUACGACCAUAACGGGUGGCGUCAUCCUCCCCGUUAAAAUCCCACAUGGGGUGGCCUCUAUAUUGAAGCAGCUGCACCCCCCACAUAAUGCAUGCGGCCAUGACUCCAAUCAUGGUUAGUCCGGAAUGAGCCAAUAGUCUUAUCCGGCCCAUCAGGCGAAGGACGUCCCUGCCGCCUCCUUUCUGAGAGAUCCGCGGACGCCAGCUUAGGUGUUUCUUUAAGGGAGCACUGUUGAAUUCGGGGAGACCUACCCGGAUAGGAUCCGGCAGUGGGACAUCAUCUAUAUAAAACCAUUCCGAAGGCCAGUCCUCGGAUGCCUUCUUUGGGGUUCCGGAUAGAUAUCCGGUCCCGGCGAUACGCCACACUUUGGCUCCGCCCACUUUAUAUAUAGACCCCUCUUGAGAGCGGGGCACCAGGCAGAAUAACCUCUUCCACAGCGCGAAAUGAGCCUCAACACCCAAGAAUAGCUCGCAAAGGGCGACGAAGCCCGCGAUAUGCAAUAUAGAGCCGGGCGUGAGAUUGUGCAGCUAGAGGCCGUAGAACUCCAGGAGCCCACGGAGAAACGGAUGAAUUGGAAAUCCAAGUCCUCUUAUUAGAUAAGGGACGAGGCACACCCGCUCUCCUUUGGAGGGAUUGGGGGUGCUCUCCGCUUGCUCUCCGCCAUUAUAGGUGGCGAGUCCGGCUCGGACUGGGACCAUAUAGGCCUGAGGGAGAAAUCCCUUGGCCUGAAGUGACACUAGCUCGCUGUGCNNNNNNNNNNNNNNNNNNNNNNNNNNNNNNNNNNNNNNNNNNNNNNNNNNNNNNNNNNNNNNNNNNNNNNNNNNNNNNNNNNNNNNNNNNNNNNNNNNNNGUCUCCAUGCAUACCCCGGUUCUUACAUAACCGGUAGGGUAUUCGGACACACUCCGGACCAUCAGGUCCUGAGGUUGAAGCGAAAAGGUCGGCAACAACAAACGAUCUACAAUCCGGCUAGAAGGCAUUACACAUGUCAAUUAAAAAUUACAUAGUCACUUUGACUGAUUGUAUUCCUCUUCAAUACCAUCCAACAGGCUGUCUAACUUACAGUCCUACUGGGAAUACUUGGCGGCCAAUUCUACUUGGCCGUACACUAAGCUCAUAGGGAUCUCCUUCCCGUCAGGCCCCACAGGUCCGACCUCGGCCAUGUGGUUUGGGUCAGCCUUUGCGUACCGCGUCUUCACCAUGGCCUAGGCCUCCCUAGAGCCUUGACGGCAGGCUGAUAUCUUCCACAAUCGGAAGCGCCGCCGUGCUCCCUUUAGCUUCUCCGGCUAGAAGGCAUUAUGAAUGUCAAUUAAAUUACAUAGUCAUUUUGACUGGUUGAAUUCCUCUUCAAUACCAUCUAACAUGCUGUCUAAUUUACAGUCCUGCUGGGAAUACUUUGCGGCCAACUCUACUUGGCCAUAUACUAAGCUUACAAGGAUCUCCUUCCCAUCGGGCCCUACAGGACCGACCUCGGCCAUGUGGUUGGGGUCAGCCUUUGCGUACCGCGUCUUCACCAUGGCCCAGGCCUCCCUAGCGCCUUGACGGCAGGCUGAUAUCUUCCACAAUCGGAAGCGCCGCCGUGCUCCCUUUAGCUUCUCCGGAAGCUCUCCGAGACCUUCGGGCAUGGAGAUGGAUGGCCACAGGGCCUGGGCGACGCCUUGCAUCGCCUGCCGAACUCGAUCGAGUAGUUGCGAGAGCUCGGGAAGAAGGUCACCCAUAGAACCGGGCAUCUCCUCUGCAGGACGACCUGUUAGCACACCUACAGACAUUGCUCUGUUAGUCAACUUCCCCGCCGAACUUUCUUUCAAAGGUUCGUUCAAGCACUUACUAAAUAUGCCGCGCCGAAGCCGCUGAUUAUCCUUCACGGAGUCUGACAGCUGGGCACAAACAUCUUUCAUCUCGACGCCCAGCUUGGUGUUGGCAUCUUGGAGAUCGUUCUUCUCCCGCCUCACCUUUGUCAGCACCUUCUCACCAGCCUUUAGCUGGCGUAGGAGGUGUUGCCUUUCCAGAUUCAAUCCGGCGCCAUCUGCAAUUUCAUUUGUCAGAUUCGCACCAAAGCCGUGCUUCGCAAAAUACUUAUCUUUCGAAGUGUAUAUUACCAGAGGGGGUCUCCUUGGGCUCCCCUGCCGCGGCUAGUGUGGCCUCAAGUUGGGCUUUGCACUCUUCCAGCUCCUUGGACAGUAGGGAAUUCUUUUCUGUAAGAACCUGCAUCACAAAUGAUCCUUAAAUCAGUUAUUCUAACUGUUUCAAGUCUCGGGGGCUACUGGUAUAUACAUAUAAUUACCAGAAUUUUCUUACCCGUAUGUCUUUUACAUACUGCUCCGUGGCUCUGGCUAGACCAUUUUGAGCGGCACGGAGAUACGCAUCUCCCGAGUUGAAGGCAUCUAACGCCCCUUGGGAGAAACAAGCGUCGCGAAGAAUUGUCUAGUGACGCCUGUGGUUCAUGGCACUCUCCACCUUGGAAUUGGUGGCAGACAGCCUGUCCGCAUCCUCUGUCGGAGGAGCAUCCGGUUCAUGCCUUGUGUUCAUUUACGCUUUCGGGUCAGGCAUUGGAACCUGGCUGGUGGAGGCGCGAUUGGCAACCUCUCCGGAUGUAGUCCAGCGAGGUCUCUUCGUCCUGAAGAUAGCACGAACAUUAAUAUUCCCUGAAGGAAUAACACCAGGGAAAAAGAGGGCGCACUAUACCUUUGCGCCGGUGUCUCAGUCCAGACUACAUUCCUUUUUACCCCACGGGGCCCUACGGCCCCUCGUUGGCUAGCCGCCGUAGGUUCGGCCUCCCACCUCGGAAACCUCUCCUGCAAAACAUGGUCGUUGUCAGGAAAACUGAAAUGCGUGAGAAUGGAUUCCUUCUCAAGGGGAUGAGACUCCGCUCUCUGUUACCUGGGAGGCCGGAAUUAACCCUGGGUAAUCAGCCGUAAUGGCCACUGAGGUGUUGUCCUUGCUUAGCUGAUGAAACACCCCGUCGAUCAGCUCCACCGAUAUGUCCGGAUCCUCUUCGGAGUCCAGAUCGAGGGAUCGUUCUGGAUCCUCGGGCUGUGGGGGACGGCUGUUUAUAUCCUUUACUUCCUGAUGCAGUUCCUGCGUUGAAGUCAUUAGACUACAUAUUUAAUCAUGGGAAUAUAAAACGGAUGGGCAAGCACAAUUGUCCACUUAUCCAACUCGGAGGGUUGUACAUAGUAAAUCCGCCCUGCGGGUUGACGCGGAGGAAUUCCUCCUCUUCUCCCUUGUACAAAGAGGAUAAGAUCUUUACUAGAGCGGCAGCUGAGGCUGGCCCCUUACGACCAUAACGGGUGGCGUCAUCCUCCCCGUUAAAAUCCCACAUGGGGUGGCCUCUAUAUUGAAGCAGCUGCACCCCCCACAUAAUGCAUGCGGCCAUGACUCCAAUCAUGGUUAGUCCGGAAUGAGCCAAUAGUCUUAUCCGGCCCAUCAGGCGAAGGACGUCCCUGCCGCCUCCUUUCUGAGAGAUCCGCGGACGCCAGCUUAGGUGUUUCUUUAAGGGAGCACUGUUGAAUUCGGGGAGACCUACCCGGAUAGGAUCCGGCAGUGGGACAUCAUCUAUAUAAAACCAUUCCGAAGGCCAGUCCUCGGAUGCCUUCUUUGGGGUUCCGGAUAGAUAUCCGGUCCCGGCGAUACGCCACACUUUGGCUCCGCCCACUUUAUAUAUAGACCCCUCUUGAGAGCGGGGCACCAGGCAGAAUAACCUCUUCCACAGCGCGAAAUGAGCCUCAACACCCAAGAAUAGCUCGCAAAGGGCGACGAAGCCCGCGAUAUGCAAUAUAGAGCCGGGCGUGAGAUUGUGCAGCUAGAGGCCGUAGAACUCCAGGAGCCCACGGAGAAACGGAUGAAUUGGAAAUCCAAGUCCUCUUAUUAGAUAAGGGACGAGGCACACCCGCUCUCCUUUGGAGGGAUUGGGGGUGCUCUCCGCUUGCUCUCCGCCAUUAUAGGUGGCGAGUCCGGCUCGGACUGGGACCAUAUAGGCCUGAGGGAGAAAUCCCUUGGCCUGAAGUGACACUAGCUCGCUGUGCNNNNNNNNNNNNNNNNNNNNNNNNNNNNNNNNNNNNNNNNNNNNNNNNNNNNNNNNNNNNNNNNNNNNNNNNNNNNNNNNNNNNNNNNNNNNNNNNNNNNACUGUAACAAGAGUUCAUAGGAUGGUGUGCAAUUCCUAUAACAAUCCCGAUAUAAAGAUGGUAAUACUCCAAGGUAGAACAGAACCAAAAGCUGGAUUGGCAUUUGAUCUGCGGAGCACAACUUCUUUGACCCAAUCCUGGAUAUGGAAGAGGUACUGGAGUUUGUUUCUCCUAGUCAUUCUGCGAUAGAAUGGCUUGACGGACCACAAGAGUUAUAGGCAUCGAUGAACGAAUGCAUGCAUACUCUUGACUAUCAAUUGAUAGACGAGGGUCAGAAUGCAACUAAAGAGGGACAACUCAAAGGAACAUACGAUUUUCUGAGUUGUGGAUGCAUGGUUUAGCAUGUCGAACGGAUUCAACAUAUUUCUUCCGGGCAAUCCAUGCGGAAGGUAAAACUGGCAGAGCCACAAUAUAUAAUGUAGAACCCAUCAAAAAUAAUCCUGUUGUGAUAUUUUAGUUCAACGAGGAACUUCUGCCAUAAGUAGUUCAUGGUAUUUGGAAGAAGAAGAUACAACGGACUUCAAGGACUAUCGGAAAGGUUACUAAUAUCCUAAAGGCACUAGCAAUUACUAUCAACAUGAAGUAGGUAGAGUGAAUCUCGGGUUCAAAACCCAGGAGUAGAAUACCUACUACUAAGUAGCAUCACGGGACGCUUUCGAGAAUGAUGGCCAGAAUCAUCACACUGGGAACACAAAUCAUGGCUAAUUACUAGGUGAUCCCCUAAACACCUAGGGUCAUAAUAGUAACUCCAACAUAAUGUCAAGGCAAUAGAAUACCUCAACUCAACAAUUGGUGUGAUUGAGCUGGCAUAAAGGAACAUCGAAACCAGAGGGAAAGGAUUUUGCAAAUGCAUCAGACUAUUUAGAAACCUGGAAUGACUCGGACAGCAUAACGGCUGUAAAUGCUCAGAAAGAUUUGAGACAUUCACAAAAAUGGUGGCAUAACCACUCAGAAGCACAAUAUCAAGGUUUCGAGAUCAACAGUUAACGUACGGAAGUAGAAGAAACUGAACUGAGACUUAAAUCCAACAAUCUUAUAAGUCUACUGAUUAGUAACACGUGAUCCUAAUAGAAAGAAGAGAUAGCCUAGUUCUUAAUCCCCGCAGGAAAGAUAAGAUGACUCAGAUCAGAAGGGCAUGAGGUAUAAGGAGUAAAAAGAGCCUUACGUUCCAUCCCACAAUCAAUUCCCUUAUAUAACUAAAGAAUUUCUAGACUCAACUUCGACCGGUUUGGCUUGGUAAUCCUACAGGCAGUCAAGCUCUGAUACCAACGCUGUCAGGACCCCGACUCAAUGUCACAUCGAUCUAGCCGGUAACACCUCAUAUCACUUUGCGGCCUCACGCACGGUAUCCCCACGGGUGUCGCCUUACCUUUGCCCGGGAGCGUUUGCGCAUUUUGGCUCACGUAUAUGAUAGUGUCGCUAGCAUCCAUAUGAUAAAGAGCCCGGGCUGACAUGGCUAGUCGUAAACCCUAAGUGGCACAGACUUACAGGGACAGGCAUCCAUGACCCAGCAUCGAACGUGUCGGUCAUCAGCAAGUGGGUCCGGGCUGUAGCACUGGGCUAGCAGGACUCCGGUAAACCGGGCUGUAGCGGGCUAACAGGACUCCGGUACUCAAUGCGUGACAUUUCCCCGAAGGGACAGACACAGGAAUGAAGAAGGACACAUGCCGGCCAGCCUAAGUGUUCCAGAGCAGUAGCAAGCUACCAUGGCUCAGCGGUAACACUAGGAGACAUUUCCCGGUAAGAGAGGCUACUAAAGAUAAACAACUAGGUAGUCAGAUCCCACACAUACCAAGCAUUUCAAUAACAUACACACAAUAUGCUCGAUAUGUGCAAUACAACAUGGCAUCACAAAAUGACUCUACGACUCAAGUAGUCUAUUCAAUAGGCUCCGAGGAGCGAGAUAUUACAACAGGGGUCUCAUGACCCAACACUCAGAGCAUACAAGUCAAAGCACAAGCGGAAGCUAUCAUGUCUGGGUACAGACAUCUAUAAAUGAAAAAGGCUGAGAAGCCUGACUAUCUAUCAUAUCCUGCCGAGGGCACAAGAUCGUAGCUGAGGUAUCAAGCUAAACGUCGAAGUCCACGUGGAACUACUAGUGAGACUGAAGUCUCUCUGCAAAACAUAAAAUAGGCAAACGUGAGUACAAAUGUACCCAGCAAGACUUACAUCAGAUCUAUCUACACAUGCAUCAUUAUCAACAAGGGGAUGGUGGAGUUUGACUGCAGCAAGCCAGCUUUGACUCGGUGGCUAUCCUGAACUACGACUGCAAGCGACUCUUUUGAGGUGGCGCACACGAGUCCACAUAUUCACCAUAUCAAUACACCACUAUGGAUCCGCUCCCGUCUCCCUACGAGAACGCCAUCCAUAGCACUCACGCUUAUCUUGCGCAUUUUAAAGUAUCCACUUUCACUUGUCUAUGAACUGAUAUAAGCAACCCAGAAGUCCUUUUCCGCGGACACGGCUAUUCGAAUAGAUGAUGUUAACCCUGCAGGGGUGUACUUCUUCAUACAUGUUUCCACCACUUAGUGUCUGCACACGACAUGUGCUCGGCAGACUUCAAGCGAAAGCCGACAUGGGUGUAGACCACGACCUACCUAAACACUCAAGUCUCUAGUCCAGGUUUAUCGCCUAUUCGGGUUCCAUCCAUGAGGAGAUCCGGCCGGAGUUUCGCUCACAGCCCCAAACGAUGUGAACAGUGUUCCCGAGAUACCAAACGGGCAUCCGGUACACCGUGCCACGUACCUACCGCAUCACAGCCCACCCCUACGGUCAGCGCUGUCCACGGCCUCCAGUAAGCUACAAACACCAGAAACUACUUGCAACUCCUGGACAGAGGACUAGGGUGAAUAAGAAGUCGAGCGGGGUCAUAUUUCAGGGCCCAAUGUAUGGUAGUAGCUGAAUCAUGGAUCACAAACACAGAACUCAGUUCCUGAGGACGGCUGCAAUGAGACAACCCACCAUGUACUCCUACAUGGCCUCUCACCGCUACCUUUACCAAAUCGUGUUCACACACUUAGCUCACACACAGUAGGACAUGUUCACACGCCUCUGAUUCAUCCCCGAUGAAUCAGACCUGACUCAACUCUAAGCAGUAGCAGGCAUGACAAACAAGCAUGAAUGAGUAGGCACAACAGGGCUCAAACAAUUCCUACUCAUACUAGUGGGUUUCNNNNNNNNNNNNNNNNNNNNNNNNNNNNNNNNNNNNNNNNNNNNNNNNNNNNNNNNNNNNNNNNNNNNNNNNNNNNNNNNNNNNNNNNNNNNNNNNNNNNCCCUCUACGCGGAUUGCCCUUCGUGCGUCUAUGGCUGUGGCCGGCGGCCUCCGGGGGCUAGCAUGCCGCCAAAUCUUGCGCCAGCGGCCUCUCACAAGUCUGGAAGUGUUGUCGCGACUUCAAACGCCCGGCACGCGUGUCCGGGGUGUGCCCCCCUCACGAAUGGCGCUGCCGCCGGCACCUGGAGGGGGAAACAGACGCGUGGGGUCUACACGGAGGGGAUCUUGCUGUGGGUCUUCCCUGGAUGUUGCUCCAAUGUGUUCCUAUGGGCUGACCUAACACAACCAGGUGGGGAGGUCCACUAGUCAAAGCCCGUCCGUGCAAAGUCAAAGGGGUAGAUCCCGUGGUCAAACGCUACAGGGUUAGGCGGGACUGGGGCACUGGGGGGGGGGGUAGCAAUGCCACCGGAGCAUCGCACCGGGCCCUCAUACAUGCGGGGUGGUGUGGUGGCAUGUCCGAAGAGGUGGGACGCGUCUCCAGGGCGUGGCCCCCCUCACGGACGGCGAUGACACAGUAGUAGACGUUCUGUGGUAACGAUGGGGCGUCAAUAUUACUAAAUACUCGGAGCGCAAUAAAAUCAUGAUUUUUUUGCACGACGUGGGCACAUGUGCUAUAGGAACGAUGGUAUUUUUUUCAUAAUUUUUGGUGAUGGAGAAGUAUCCGAAAAAUUCCCUCUACGCGGAUUGCCCUUCGCGCGUCUAUGGCUGUGGCCGGCGGCCUCCGGGGGCUAGCAUGCCGCCAAAUCUUGCGCCAGCGGCCUCUCACAAGUCUGGAAGUGUUGUCGCGGUUGCAAACGCCCGGCACGCGUGUCCGGGGUGUGCCCCCCUCACGAACGGCGCUGCCGCCGGCAUCUGGAGGGGGGAAACGGACGCGUGGGGUCUACACGGAGGGGAUCUUGCUGUGGGUCUUCCCCGGAUGUUGCUCCAAUGUGUUCCUAUGGGCUGACCUAACACAACCGGGUGGGGAGGUCCAUUGGUCAAAGCCCGUCCGUGCAAAGUCAAAGGGGUAGAUCCUGUGGUCAAAUGCUACAGGGUUAGGCGAGACGGGGGCACUGGGGGGUAGCAAUGCCACCGGAGUGUCGCACCGGGCCCUCAUACAUGCGGAGUGGUGUGGUGGCAUGUCCGAAGAGGCGGGACGCGUCUCCGGGGCGUGGCCCCCCUCACGGACGGCGAUGACAUGGUAGUAGACGUUCUGCGGUAACGAUGCAGCGUCAAUAUUACUAAAUACUUGGAGCGCGAUAAAAUAAUGAUUUUUUUUUGCACCACGUGGCACAUGUGCUAUAGGAACGAUGGUAUUUUUUCAUAAUUUUUGGUGAUGGAGAAGUAUCCGAAAAAUUCCCUCUACGCGGAUUCCCCUUCGCGCGUCUACGGCUGUGGCCGGCGCCCUCCGGGGGCUAGCAUGCAGCCAAAUCUUGCGCCAGCGGCCUCUCACAAGUCUGGAAGUGUUGUCGCGGUUGCAAACGCUCGGCACGCGUGUCCGGGGUGUGCCCCCCUCACGAACGGCGCUGCCGCCGGCACCUGGAGGGGGGAGACGGACGCGUGAGGCCUACACGGAGGGGAUCUUGCUGUGGGACUUCCCUGGAUGUUGCUCCAAAGUGUUCCUAUGGGCAGACCUAACACAACCGGGGGGGAGGUCCAUUGGUCAAAGCCCGUCCGUGCAAAGUCAAAUGGGUAGAUCCCGUUGUCAAACGCUACAGGGUUAGGCGGGACGGGGGCACUGGGGGUAGCAAUGCCACCGGAGCGUCGCACCGGGCCCUCAUACAUGCGGGGUGGUGUGGUGGCAUGUCCGAAGAGGCGGGACGCGUCUCCGGGGCGUGGCCCCCCUCACGGACGGCGAUGACACGGUAGUAGACGUUCUAUGGUAACGAUGCGGCGUCAACAUUACUAAAUACUCGGAGCACGAUAAAAUCAUGAUUUUUUUUGCACGACGUUGGCACAUGUGCUAUAGGAACGAUGGUAUUGUUUCAUAAUUUUUGGUGAUGGAGAAGUAUCCGAAAAAUUCCCUCUACGCGGAUUGCCCUUCGCGCGUCUACGGCUGUGGCCGGCGGCCUCCGGGGGCUAGCAUGCCGCCAAAUCUUGCGUCGGCGGCCUCUCACAAUUCUGGAAGUGUUGUCGCAGUUGCAAACGCCUGGCACGCGUGUCCGGGGUGUGCCCCCCUCACGAACGGCGCUGCCGCCGGCACCUGGAGGGGGGAAACGGACGCGUGGGGUCUACACGGAGGGGAUCUUGCUGUGGGUCUUCCCCGGAUGUUGCUCCAAUGUGUUCCUAUGGGCUGACCUAACACAACCGGGUGGGGAGGUCCACUGGUCAAAGCCCGUCCGUGCAAAGUCAAAGGGGUAGAUCCCGUGGUCAAACGCUACAGGGUUAGGCGGGACGGGGGCACUGGGGGGUAGCAAUGCCACCGGAGCAUCGCACCGGGCCCUCAUACAUGCGGGGUGGUGUGGUGGCAUGUCCGAAGAGGCGGGACGCGUCUCCGGGGCGUGGCCCCCCUCACGGACGGCGAUGACACGGUAGUAGACGUUCUGCGGUAACGAUGCGGCGUCAAUAUUACUAAAUACUCGGAGCGCGAUAAAAUCAUGAUUUUUUUUGCAUGCCGUGGGCACAUGUGCUAUAGGAACGAUGGUAUUUUUCCAUAAUUUUUGAUGAUGGAGAAGUAUCCGAAAAAUUCCCUCUACGUGGAUUGCCCUUCGCGCGUCUACGGCUGUGGCCGGCGGCCUCCGGGGGCUAGCAUGACGCCAAAUCUUGCGCCGGCGGCCUCUCACAAGUCUGGAAGUGUUGUCGCGGUUGCAAACACCCGGCACGCGUGUCUGGGGUGUGCCCCCCUCACGAACGGCGCUGCCGCCGGCACCUGGAGGGGGGAAACGGACGCGUGGGGUCUACACGGAGGGGAUCUUGCUGUGGGACUUCCCCGGAUGUUGCUCCAAAGUGUUCCUAUGGGCUGACCUAACACAACCGGGUGGGGAGGUCCAUUGGUCAAAGCCCGCCCGUGCAAAGUCAAAGGGGUAGAUCCCGUGGUCAAACGCUACAGGGUUAGGCGGGACGGGGGCACUGGGGGUAGCAAUGCCACCGGAGCGUCGCACCGGGCCCUCAUACAUGCGGUGUGGUGUGGUGGCAUGUCCGAAGAGGCGGGACGCAUCUCCGGGGCGUGGCCGCCCUCACGGACGGUGAUGACANNNNNNNNNNNNNNNNNNNNNNNNNNNNNNNNNNNNNNNNNNNNNNNNNNNNNNNNNNNNNNNNNNNNNNNNNNNNNNNNNNNNNNNNNNNNNNNNNNNNCACCCCAGGGUUAGUUAAUCGUGGAAAUCACUCCGGGACCCCAAAACAAUGACUAAUAGUCCAUGAAACGGGCCAGACUCGCCCAAAAUAGUGAGUGUUGAUGACCGACACGUAAGCACACAUCAGAGUUCAACAACUACGGAAAUCGUUUCGGGACCCCAAAACGAUGAGUAAUAGUCCAUGAAACGGGCCAGAAUUGACAAAAACCAGAAGUGUUGAUGACCAAAACGAAAACGCACCUGGGGUUCGUCAAUCGUGAAAUCCCCGCGGGACCCAAAAACUGAGUAAUAGUCCAAGAAACGGGCAAGAAUCGACCAAUCUGUGAGUCUUGACGACCAACACGUAAUCAUACCUUGGGGUUCGACAACCAUGGAAAUCGCUUUGGGACCACAAAACGUUGAGUAAUAGUCCACGAAACGGGUCAGAAUCGGCAAAAACCGUGAGUGUUGAUGACCGACACGUAAACACGCCCUGGGGUUCGUUAAUGUGGAAAUCACUCCGGGACGCCAAAACAGUGAGUAAUAGUCCACGAAAUGGGCAAGAAUCAUCCAAAACUGUGAGUGUUGAUGACCGGCAUGUUAACGCACCCCAGGGUUCGUUAAUGGUGGAAAUCACUCCGGGACGCCAAAACUGUGAACAAUAGUCCAUGAUCCGGCCAGAAUCGGCCAAAACUAUGAAUAUUGAUGACCAACNNNNNNNNNNACCCCAGGGUUCGUUAAUGGUGGAAAUCACUCCGGGACGCCAAAACAGUGAGUAAUAGUCCAUGAACCGGGCCAGAAUCGGCCAAAACUGUGAAUAUUGAUGACCGACACGAAAGCGCACCCCGGGGUUCGUUAAUCGUUGAAAUCACUUCAGGACCCGCAAACAGUGAGUAAUACUCCAUGAAAUGGGCCAGAAUCAGCCAAAACUAUGAGUGUUGACGACCGACACGUAAGCGCACCCCGGGGUUCGUUAAUUAUGGAAAUCACUUCGGGAGCCCAAAACAAUGUGUAAUAGUCCACGAAACGGGCCAGAAUCGGCCAAAACUAUGAGUGCUGAUGACCGAUACGUAAGCGCACCCCAGGGUUUCUUAAUCGUGGAAAUCACUCCGGGACCCCAAAACAGUGAUUAAUAGUCCAUGAAACGGGCCAGAAUCGCCCAAAAUAGUGAGUCUUGAUGACCGACACGUAAGCACACCUCAGAGUUCAACAACUAUGGAAAUUGUUUUGGGACCCCAAAACGAUGAGUAAUAGUCCAUGAAACGGGCCAGAAUUGACAAAAACCGCGAGUGUUGAUGACCGAAACGAAAACGCACCUGGGGUUCGUCAAUCGUGAAAUCCCCGCGGAACCCAAAAACUGAGUAAUAGUCCAAGAAACGGGCCAGAAUCGACCAAACUGUGAGUCUUGACGACCAACACGUAAUCAUACCUUAGGGUUCGACAACCAUGGAAAUCGCUUUGGGACCACAAAACGUUGAGUAAUAGUCCACGAAACGGGUCAGAAUCGGCAAAAACCGUGAGUGUUGAUGACCGACAUGUAAACACGCCCUGGGGUUCGUUAAUGGUGGAAAUCACUCCGGGACACCUAAACAGUGAGUAAUAGUCCAUGAAAUGGGCAAGAAUCGGCCAAAACUGUGAGUGUUGAUAACCGACAUGUUAACGCACACCAGGGUUCGGUAAUGGUGGAAAUCACUCCAGGACGCCAAAACUGUGAGCAAUAGUCCAUGAUCCGGCCAGAAUCGGCCAAAACUAUGAAUAUUGAUGACCAACACGUAGGCGCACCCCGGGGUUCGUUAAUCGUUGAAAUCACUUCAGGACCCAAAAACAGUGAGUAAGUCCAUGAAACGGGCCAGAAUCAGCCAAAACUAUGAGUGUUGAUGACCGACACGUAAGUGCACCCCGGGGUUCGUUAAUCGUGGAAAUCACUGCGGGAGCCCAAAACAGUGUGUAAUAGUCCACGAAACGAGCCAGUAUCGGCCAAAACUAUGAGUGUUGACGACCGACAUGUAAGCNNNNNNNNNNAGAAUCGACCAAUCUGUGAGUCUUGACGACCAACACGUAAUCAUACCUUGGGGUUCGACAACCAUGGAAAUCGCUUUGGGACCACAAAACGUUGAGUAAUAGUCCACGAAACGGGUCAGAAUCGGCAAAAACCGUGAGUGUUGAUGACCGACACGUAAACACGCCCUGGGGUUCGUUAAUGUGGAAAUCACUCCGGGACGCCAAAACAGUGAGUAAUAGUCCACGAAAUGGGCAAGAAUCAUCCAAAACUGUGAGUGUUGAUGACCGGCAUGUUAACGCACCCCAGGGUUCGUUAAUGGUGGAAAUCACUCCGGGACGCCAAAACUGUGAACAAUAGUCCAUGAUCCGGCCAGAAUCGGCCAAAACUAUGAAUAUUGAUGACCAACACGUAGGCGCACCCUGGGGUUCAUUAAUCGUUGAAAUCACUUCAGGACCCGAAAACAGUGAGUAAGUCCAUGAAACGGGCCAGAAUCAGCCAAAACUGUGAGUGUUGAUGACCGACACGUAAGUGCACCCCGGGGUUCGUUAAUCGUGGAAAUCACUUCGGGAGCCCAAAACAGUGUGUAAUAGUCCACGAAACGAGCCAGCAUCGGCCAAAACUAUGAGUGUUGACGACCGACAUGUAAGCGCACCACGAGGUUAGUUAAUCGUGGAAAUCACUCCGGGACCCCAAAACAGUGAUUAAUAGUCCAUGAAACGGGCCAGAAUCGCCGAAAACAGUGAGUGUUGAUGACCGACACGUAAGCACACCUAUGAGUUCAACAACUACAAGAAUCGCUUUGGGACCACAAAACGAUGAGUAAUAGUCCACGAAACGGGUCAAAAUCGACAAAAACCGCAAGUGUUGAUGACCAACACGUAAACACGCCCCGGGGUUCGUUAAUGUUGGAAAUCACACAGGGAUGCCAAAACAGUGAGUAAUAGUCUAUGAACCGGGCCUGAAUCGGCCAAAACUAUGAGUGUUGAUGACCGACACAUAAGCGCACCCCGGGGUUCAUUAAUCAUGGAAAUCACUCCGGGACCCCAAAACGGUGAGUAAUACUCCACGAAAUGGGCAACAGUCGACAAAAACCGUGAGUGUUGAUGACCGACACGUUAACGCACCCCAGGGUUCGUUAAUGGUGGAAAUCACUCCGGGACGCCAAAACAGUGAGUAAUAGUCCAUGAACCGGNNNNNNNNNNNNNNNNNNNNNNNNNNNNNNNNNNNNNNNNNNNNNNNNNNNNNNNNNNNNNNNNNNNNNNNNNNNNNNNNNNNNNNNNNNNNNNNNNNNNUAUUUGUUUCCCACCCAAGAUGAACAAUAUAGGCAUACCCUAGGUGAACCAGAUAUUAGACAGACAGACUAUUCAUUGUUGCCUCGAUAUGUGCCCCACAACUAAUUUAGAACUCAAGUUUGAAUAUUAAUUUGAACCUCACUCAAGUUAGAAUAUUAUUCUGCCACUAAUGCACUUGGUCUUGUUUUCAUGCAUAGGAUUUUGAAAAGUAGGUCCAGGUGGAUGUUUUGCUUCAUUCCUUUCAACCAAAUGCAGGAAUAAUUGAAUAGUAGAGUGCCAUUGGAAAAUUCCCUAUUGCUAUGUUUUUCCGUUGAACAAAAAUAGCCCCAAUGGAUCGACAUGAAUGUAUAGUAAUAAGUGAUGCAACAAGUGUACAACCUCUUUGCAGUAGCCGUGUAGACCUCAGGAUCAUUGGGUUGGUUGCUGAAGCAGUUGAGGCAGAGGUGGCUAUCGGAGGUGUGGAGGAAGAUCUGAGGAAUCUGUAGACAGCGUCCAGGGCACUGCUCUGUUGUGAUGGAUCAUUAUGUCGUUGGAGCAGCUCCGGUGAGCCGUAAGACGUCAAGGCUGAAGCAACACAAGACAGACAUCGUCAAUCUCAGGUGGGAUUCUAAUAGCAUCUCCAAUAGAUGAUGUAAAAUUGAUGUAAAAUUUACAUCACCAAAAACCACCUGACUACAAUAGAUGAGGUAAAAACUGUUGACUCUGAACUUAACUAUCCAAACUGAAAUUUACUGUGGAAUCUGAAUGUUACUAUCGAAACUGAACGCAAUGGUAGCAGAGAGGCACUUGACAUGUAGUUUAGGGAGGGCCUGCAGUUCAUCUUCAACCUGCACCCCCCUGAGCCGCCAGUCACCACCGGCCGAACCGCCGGCCCCAGCGCCGCCUUGCCGCCCCAAAAUAACUCCCCAUCGCCGCCUCGGCCAGCCCUCUAGGCCCCCCGCCCCACCCUGAACCCCAAGAUAGAUAGUGGGGUACCUCUCCAGCGAGCCCUCGUCCCCGCUGCGGGUGGUUCUUCCUUAACUCCCUGAAUAUUGACUGACCCAAAAGUCGAUUCAGUCGACUCAAGUGUGGCUAAAUCGGAGCAGAGCAGCAGCACGAGCAAGGGGGAGAGCUGCAGCAGCAACGCGAGCGAGCGAGAGCCGGAGCAGCAGCAGCUGGGUGAGCGAGCGAUCGAGCGAGAGCCGGAGCAGUAGCAGCAGCGCGAGCAAGCGAGCGAGAGCCGGAGCAGCAGCAGCAGCAGAUCCGGCUGGUAUGGACGCCGCCGCCGAAGGGUCCUCGCACUGGGGGAGAGCCGCCAUGGAGAUGUCGCCCGCGGCAUCGGCUUCAAGGUAGCCGCUCCAUGGGGGUGCACGAUGGAGCACCGUCGGCGCCUGGAGGUCGAGUUAAGGAGAAGGUGCGAUGCGAUGAGUGUAAAACCUCUUUGGUGGCGCCGAGUAGGCCUCGGCUUCGUCCGAGGAAUCGGUGAGUAUGCUGCGGUUCCGGUGGAGCAGGUUAAGGCAGCGCUGCGGGGAUGGAGCAACCGCGAUAGACGAGACAAUCGUCAGAGCAGCUCCUUGGAGGUGGAGGACGGGGCGGCGAAGCGGUGGGACAACGAUAUGGACGAUGGAUCCUCAUCCGGGGAGGUGGACGAGGGACGUCGAGCUAUUGCGGUGGACGACGUCGUCAGGGAAGAAGCUCCGGCUGGGCAGCGGUGAGGUGGCGGACGGAGGAGGGUGGGGUUUCGCUGCUGGAGCAGAGAGGUUAUGGCGGCCUGGGAUUUCGAAUGGCGAAAAGGGGGCGAUGGGAGGGGUGAAGCAUGACUUAGGGACGCGCUUGUCCAAAAUGUAGGGUGUGUUACGAAAGUACCCCCCACCAAUUUGAACUAGCGGCCCUUUUGGCUCAGGGUUAGAAGGGGGAUUUCGCGUGUCGGGAUUUGGCAGCUGGAGGGAGUUUUCGCGCGCGUUGUAAUUUUGGGAUAGCAAGGCGCGGGUUGUGAAGGCGCUAGUUUUGGGAGCACGAUAUCUGAAUUUUCGGGAUAUAACAAGGCGCGGGUUGAAUUUUAGGGACAAGCCUAACGUGUAGUAAUAUUGUACUUGUACGUUCCAAAUCAAUUCGCACUUCCCUCAACCAAAAAGAAAAUGAAAAAAUUUAAACUAUUCACACCACACAAAGAGAGUGUCUUGCGCCAUUUUACUAUACAAAUGCUAUUCAAAGCUACUCCCUCCUUCCAUCUAUAUAGGGCCUAAUGCGUUUUUCGAUGCUAACUCUGACCAAAUAUUAGAGCAAUAAUAUAUGACAUGCAACUUACACAAAGCACAUCGUUAAAUUCGUCUGUGAAAGGUUCUUUCAAUGAUAUAGUUUUCACACAUUGUGCAUGUCAUGUACUAUUAAUCUUGUCAAUAAUCAAAGGCGGUCUUUAAAAACUCAUUACGCCCUAUACAGAUGGAAGGAGAGAGUAUGAAUCCAUGUUAUGUCCAAUUAAAAAAAUUCGCUUGAUGUAUAAUGCAUGUAACCUACUCAUACCAACAUUUUAGUGCAUUCCAAAUGUCUAUACUACCGCUCCAAUUCGAACUAAAUUUGAAUUUGUUUCUCUAUUUCAAUUAGAAUCUACAAUCAUGAUUGUUGCCAACUUCAACCAUCAUUCGUGUAUUACCUUAAUAACACACCACAUGAUUACUAUAGAGAUAGAUAUGAACUAUGUGUACUACAUGAACUAGAAUUCUAUUUUUUGAAUACACUUGAUGUUGAUUCCAAAUAAUAGUACAUUUGAUGUACUAACUAUAUAUUCAUAAUCUAAACCAUGUUCCAUACGUACACCGUGUUUAUCACACAAAGUAUAGUGCCCCGCCCCCUACAUUAUGACAAGUAUUUAGACCUGAGCUGCAAAAGCCACACAUUAGCCCAAAUUAUAAUCAAUGUUCUAUAUAUUAUACGUAGUACUAGCAAGAUGCCCAUGCGUUCCACAGAAUAUCAACAUGAUCAAGGGGCCUAAUUUGCAAAUAUGGAGAGGGGUGUGGGUAUCUUUUUUCAAAAUUGCCAUAGUUUCCUUCCUAUCCGCCAGAUAUAAAUCGGACGGCCCAUAUUGCAGGAUGGCAGUCACACCAUCAUCAACAACUCCAUUUUUAUAAGAAGUAGAGAUAAAAUAUAUUAUAUGUAGUAUAACAUGUUCAUAACCACACUAUGUGUAUCACCNNNNNNNNNNNNNNNNNNNNNNNNNNNNNNNNNNNNNNNNNNNNNNNNNNNNNNNNNNNNNNNNNNNNNNNNNNNNNNNNNNNNNNNNNNNNNNNNNNNNAGACCGCCCAGCCGACUGCCCCGGCGCCUGACACCGCCAUCUCCUCCGAUCCUCCAAUCCCAGAUGCCGCCUCCUAGGCUGCCUUUUUCGCCUCUGUUUGUCUGUCUUAAUAAUCUUUUGAAAACUUUUUUAGACUCGAACAAUUCCACCCGCGGGGUGUAUCUUGAACUUCUAUUCGAAGAUUCGGCCAAGGGCCUAUGUAAAUAUUAAUCUGCUUUCCAUAUUUCCUUGCUUACUGCUCUUUAGGCUUUUCCUUUUGCCGCCUUCCUUUAGUCGCUGCCUUGUCAGUCGAGCAGCCGCUCUGUGGACUGUCGCUGGGUCAACUGCUUGGCUACUUCGGGAAGGCAAGGACUUGGCCGUUUAGAGUUUUUUUUAGCAAGUCGGAUAGAAAGCGACAUGCCGACUGCCCAAGAGUCGGCCGUCCUUAAUGGAGGCUAAUAAAGACGGUGAGCCGGCUACUCAUGAGUCGGCCUUCCGCUUCAGAAAUGCUGGAGGCCGUCUUAUGCAAUGUUCGUGCUUUAGGUCCUUAGCCAUUUUUCGUGUGGGUGCCCGUUCUUCCUCACUCCUGCCUGCCUCACAGUCGCUCUGCGAGCUGCGGCUUUGCCAGGAGGCGGAUUGGGCACCGCACACUACUUGUCUGACUAUGGGAAGCUUCUCAUAGCGCAAGGCGGCGAGUCCCCGGGCCGACUAGUCAGGCCCAGUGCCAAGCGGCUUGUAAUGAAAGUAAUGUACUCGGAGGCAUAAUUCUUAUCGUACUGGGUCAACUUAAGAUAAAAAUGACUAGUGUCAUGACAUGCCAUCCAAAUGCACUCAUGUAUCAUGCCUCACUAAUCAUCAGAAUCAUACCGGGUCAACUUAUAUCAAGCACUAAACAGUUCAGAACCUCAUGGCAUUUUUCUGGUCAUGUUUAUGCAGCAACUAAUCAUGGCAAUAACUUAGCAUAAUCAUUUUCUUACUCAAGAAAAUAUUAUUCAAACUAGUCCAUUUUCAAUAGCCAAUUAUUACUCCAAAGACUAUCAUCACAUAUAAUAACUUAACUCUAGCUUAGUUAACUCCUAACUUUCUGUCAAACAACAUAUCCACCUAAAUAAGCUUGCAACAGAAUCAAAAUAAUUAUUUAACUAGGUGAUUUAAAUGCAUGAACUAAUUAACCAUUAAAGUUGAAAAUAAAUCACAAAUAUUGCAAUGGCAUCAUGAAAAUGUUGCUGUGGCUUGCCUUAGUGCAGAUGAGCAUCACACUCUCCCUGGUGAUCCUCAAGACAAGCUCCACCUUCUAAAAACAGUUAUAAACACAAAAGGAAAACAGCAAGAACCCUUCUGAAAUUUGCCAGAAAAUCUAGGCAGCAAGGAAAAAUCCCAUCUUUGGUGUGCUACUAGAUAUUUGCAUACAGAAACCAAUGCAAAAAGAAUCAAUUCAUUUGGACUUAUUGUUAAAAAGUUGUGGUUGUUUGAAGUGUUCUGUAAAUUUUGAAUUUAAAUAAACAUACCUAGGGGGGACGUCGAAGGCGUAAACCCGCGGGCGCCUCCACUCCUACCGCUUUGGGCGCGUACAGAGUGGCUGACUGGCGGGCCCCGCUAGUCAAGUGAGGGGGAGGAGGAGAAGGAGACUAAGGGCGGCGGGGCUUCGCCAGAGCACAUGUCGACGAGGAGAGCUCCUUGGCCAAAACUAGAGGGAGGGAUCGAAAGAGGGGACGGAGGCGCACCUGCCCAUACCCAUAGGUUAGCUUGGGGUGGUCGGACGUCGUCGGAAACGGCCUCUCUAGCGGCGAUAGAUGGCAGCAGUCGCCAGAGUUGAAGCGACGGCGACUGGAGGCGGCACCAGGGGCUCCAACCGAGCGGAACGGCACCACCGAGGCCCGGCGGAGACCCUGGAAGGGUUGCCUGAGCUUGGGAGGGGCUGGAGUGGUGCAGAUGGACAGAGGGGAUCGCCGGCGAGCUCGAGGUCGGGGACGGUGGCCCGAGGCCUGCCGGGCCGGGCCACGGCUUUCUACAGGUUCAUGGAGUGUGUGUGAGGGUUGGAUGAGGCUCGAGGAGGCUGGGGAGGGCUCUAUUUAUAGCCGAGCGAUGGGAGGUGCUCGGGCUCGGCCGGAGGACACCUGGACGCUGCAGUGGGAAGGCGGCGCAGCUCACAUGGGAACUGUGGGCGCACGGAGAUGAGCAUAGGAGCGAGGAGAAGGCGACCAACACAGUGCACGGUGCACUGUUGGGUUGGCCGGACCGCGCCCGUGCUCACUGCGGCGAGCUCUGGCAUCGGCAAGCUCCAAGGUGAAGUAAAUGGCAUCGGGAUGGUGAUGGUGGGCGGGUUUGGCAAUGUUUGGCAGGUGAUGGAAGCGAUCAAGCGAGCAACAGAGGCUCGGACGCGAUGCAGAGGGGGCCGUCUGCAUGCCAUCACGCUUGGUCGAACACGGUCACCGCGUGAACUCUGACCUUAGGCCGACCUAAGCCUAAACUUCAUGUCUAGCGUGUUGUUCGUGGUAGAUAUAGGAGUUACCACCGUUAGAUUUGAGCUCAGGUGCAGUGAACAAGAUUUUUACUUCACUGCAAGUUACUAUACACUAACUUUGAGAGGUUGCUGUGGUUAAACAGCUGGGAGUUGGGAGUUGUGCUUUGGUGUGUAGCAGUGAGUUAGGAGGGUAGUGAUGCACAACAAAAUGCAGCACCAAUGGAGCAAGUAAAAUGGUAGUUGCUGUAGAAACCACCAUUUCUGGCCAGAACAGAAAAUAUUUUCUAUAGCAAAAGUAUUCUAAAAGUGGUGUGAUAUUUUUGCUCAGGGAGGUGACCUAUGGUUCAAAGAAUUUUUGAGAAUUUUCUCAGAUUUUUGUGAGCAAGUAAAAUAGGGGUGGCUUUGGAGCACAAGUUUCUGUUUAGGGUUUUUAAGAUGAAAAUGAAUAUUUUUCAUUAAAGAAAAAUAUCCAUGAAAUUAUUUUGAGGUAGAACAGAGAGGAAAUGAUGGUUUGGAGGAGGAGCGAGCCACUUGGGUGAAAGCCAAGGUGAUUCCCAAGUGUUUUAAGUCCAACUGAAAUGACUCAAAUUCAAAAUUGAAAUCAGAACUCAAUUGAAAACCAGAAGAGAAAAGAGGCCAAAAACUAGGCUGUCACAAACCUCCCCCACUUAGGAUGAAUCUCGUCCUCGAGAUUCGGUUGCUCGGGAAAGCAAUUAUGGAUAGUUUGCNNNNNNNNNNNNNNNNNNNNNNNNNNNNNNNNNNNNNNNNNNNNNNNNNNNNNNNNNNNNNNNNNNNNNNNNNNNNNNNNNNNNNNNNNNNNNNNNNNNNGUCGUUGAUGAUGAUCGAAGAAGCCAUCGAGCCUAUCGGUGAUGACACAGAGGAACUCUCAAUGAAAGCGCCAAUGUCGGUGUCAAAACCGGCGGAUCUCGGGUAGGGGGUCCCGAACUGUGCGUCUAGGCGGAUGGUAACAGGAGACGAGGGACACGAUGUUUUUACCUAGGUUCGGGCCCUCUUGAUGGAGGUAAAACCCUACGUCCUGCUUGAUUAAUAUCAAUGAUGUGGGUUACAAGAGUAGAUCUACCACGAGAUCAAGGAGGCUAAACCCUAGAAGCUAGCCAAUGGUAUGGUUGUUGUUCGUCCUAUGGACUAAAGCCAUCCGGUUUAUAUAAACACCGGAGAGGGCUAGGGUUACACAGAGUCAGUUACAAUGGUAGGAGAUCUACAUCUCCGUAUCACCAAGCUUGCCUUCCACACCAUGGAAAGUCCCAUCUGGACACGGGACGAAGUCUUCAGUCUUGUAUCUUCAUAGUCUUGGAGUCCGGCCGAUGAUGAUAGUUCGGCUAUCCGGACAUCCCCUAGUCCGGGACUCCCUCACCUCCUUUUUCCUAUGUGAGGACAACAAACCGAUCGACCUGGUCAUUCUCUAUUGCGUUCUCAUGCCUUUCUUCCCAUCUUCAAUCAAGAGACACGAGACUCAUUCCUUAGCUACUGAUUUUCCCCUUUUCAACCUAGGUUCGGGUUUGAUGCCUACUCUCUUGGACAGUACACUCUCACUUCCUUUCCUUAUUCAACCUAUACAUGGAUUAGUUUGCAUGAAGUAGGGUUUCCUUUAAUAGUACAAAUUAAGAUUUUCGUCUACAUGACCACCAGAGCAGAGGAUAGCAAAUUGGGAAGAUGGUGGAGUGGAAAAAGAUCCACAUGCAGCGACGUGGAAAAUGGGGCAAUAGAACAAGUGUAUAAUUUGAAAAGAGGUAGCAUACCUGAGGGUCGGCGGGAAGUGGCUUCACUAGUGGUCAUCGUCCUCCGCACACACUACAGCAGCGAGCUUUGGGACGGAGGCCAUCCCGCGCGGGUGCUAGGUCUGAGAGGAUGGCCUUGUCGUCAGUGCGUGACCUCUCUCGCCGACAACGAGUGCGUCAACGCAGCACUUACUUUUCUUCCCCAGCGGAUCUGUGACCACCCGUGAGGAGGGAGAGAGAGGAAGUCUUUUUUAGAUUUGGAGAGAGGGUGAUAGUGUGAGAAGCAAGUGUGCAGCCCUUAGCAAGAAAGCACUAAAGCUGCAACCUAUAGAUCUUUUUUAUACUACUAGUACUAGAGGUGAAGUAUUCGUAGAGUAGUUUAUAUUUUCUCUGCAUACAGUACCAGUUAGUCGUGCUUCAAAACUGAACGACACGCCAUUAAAAAAAUAAAGUCAAGAAACAAUGCGGCAGAUCACAUUUUGCACGAGAAAUGACACACCAUGUUUCGUUGACAUGUGGUCCCGUUCCAACAUGUCAGUGAGACGGCGGUGAGUCUUUUUGUACAAUUUCUGAACAGACGUCUAUGUAGGCCGGGGCGCCUCUUCGUGUACAAUGGCUACCGUCCACCGCCUCUUCGCCGUUCCCUCUCGAUUUGGAACUGUUGUCGCACGCUCUUCCUCCCUCCUCCAUUUGCCUUCACCCUUCCUUCUACCAUUGUUUGAUCGUAUUCUCCAUGGAGGGAACAAACCAGAAACGACCCCAUUUUCUUGCCCUGAUAUGAAAGAUGACGUGGUGGAGGAACUCAUUGAUCGGUGCGACGUGAUCACCUCAGCUAGCAUCGCAGGUUCAUUCAAGACCAUUCCCGACUCAACUAAUAACAUCAUUACAAGGAACCCAAUGGUCCUGGAGCAGGUUGAUCUCCCCUAUCUUGAGACUACUAAACAUGACAUGCAGUGGUUAGUUCAUGUCAUGUAAUCCUAUUAAUUAGCAAAAACACAUUAAGUUCUCUCGCCGAUAGGAAUAAAACAAUACACCAUGUAUUUAUUUACAGAGGGAGUAGUACAUUUUUUGUGACAUGCAUUACAAGAUAUUGCUAGUCAAAUACUAAAUCAAGAUGGACGUGGUACUACUACUAAAUCCAGACGGUGGUGGUAGUAGUACUACCAAUGUAGUAGAACGGUACUACCCGUUGGUCAAAUUAUUACGUGCUGCUCCUCACAGUGAAGUAUCAAGACCCUGCACCGGAGAUGACACCAGAGUAUAGGCGCCGUGUUCGGCAUACCAUAGUCAGCCUCACCGUCUGCAUUCACUAUCAUCAUGGCUGUAGAGCUAGCAUGCUUACAACUAGCCGUGUUCGACAUAAUUUUCCGUGCGUAGAUGCCCAUGCAUUGCAUGGAACACCAAGAUUGGGGUGGAUGGCGCCGGCAGCAGCCAUCACGCCAGAUUUUUCCAUGGCCUUCUAGAUGUGGUGGGGAGGAGAUAAGGCUGAUUGUGAGAGACAAGGAGUUGUUUGUAAAUAGGGAACAAGUGCGGGCAUCUUUUUGCAAAACUGGAGAAGUUUGGUUUGUGUGCGUCAAAUAUAGAUCCGAUGGCUAUUCGUGAAACAUGGCAGGCACAACAUCAUCACCAACUCAGGACCUCUUUGAUUCACAGGAUUUUGAAAACGUGGGAAUAGGACACGGCAAUAUUACAAGUUUCAAACGGAUAUUACAAAUUUUAGGAGUAAUGCUGCACCUACGAAGAGGUAAUUACUAGGAAGUCUACGUAAGAACAUUUGUUACUUUAGGUGGAUGCAGCAUUAUCGUACAAACUAAAAUCCACCACCCUAACAAGUCACUAAUGGGGAAAUAAAUUUUCGAGUCUCUGACCACUUGAUGUUUCAAAAACAAAUUCAGCUUCUGCGGAGACUUUGUCAUUUAGGCUUAGACGCUUGCGGUGAUCAGCACGCCAUUCAUUGUUGCACCAGAGAACGCCAAACCUCAUUACCUUGAGCACACUUGCCUCCAGAACAAAGAACCUAGCCAAUUUAAUCUCAGAUAUGCUGCCUCGGUAGUCGAUCAAAUCAAUUUAGGUAAGAUGGGCAUCAAGGCAUUCGAUGAGAUUGUUGUAGUCAGCACAUUUUUCACUUUCAGAUCUUUUUUAUCUGCAAAAGAAGAAAACAUAUUAGAGCAGCUGGUUAUAUCAGAUUGUCAUGUCAUCAAGAGGUACCACUAUCAUUCGCUCAUACUAUAGGGUUGGCUGGCUUGUGAUAUUUUUUCACNNNNNNNNNNNNNNNNNNNNNNNNNNNNNNNNNNNNNNNNNNNNNNNNNNNNNNNNNNNNNNNNNNNNNNNNNNNNNNNNNNNNNNNNNNNNNNNNNNNNAAGAAGAAAAAGAACAAUUUUUUAAAAAAAUUAAACCAAUUUUGGAAUGAGAACAAAGAUAUAAAGUUAUACAAAACAGGAUAUUUUCUGGAAUUAUGAAUUUUUUUUGAAAAUUAUGAACUUAUAGAAAAAAAGGGAGAAAGAAAAAUAAACUUGAAAGGAAAAAAGGCAAAAUAAACAUGAAAUAAAAAGGAAAGAAACGGAAAAAGAAAAUAAAACAUAAUACAGUAAAAAAACAGUUCAGCCCAUUGUGGACGCACUGUGCGAAGCUCCGACUAUUUGACGCACCAUGCGAUAAAUAGGAUUUUCCAGGUGGGCAUGAAAAUAAAUGCGCUUGCUUUGCCAGGCCACACUGCAGGCGGCCCAGAUACGUCGAUAUAGAAGUGGCAUAGCAUACAGAGUUAACAAUUAGUUUCACUAGCCGUCAACCCGUGCGUUCGCACGGGCUAGCCUAUAAAAAUGAGUGCUAAUUAGAAUUUUAUGUCCUACAAUCAAAUUAAAUUCAUCAGGUGGCCUGCAUAUAAAAUUUUCUCCAUUAUUUUACACUUUCUUUCGUAAAUUAUAUUAAAAUGGUACAGAAAUAUUAUUUGCUGGUAAUAUUAUAAAUUAUACAAACAAAUAGGCAUUGGAAAAUUGAACAUAAAAAUGUCGUACUUGUUAAAUAUUAGCCAUGCUGUUGGAAAAUUUCCUAACUCUGUUUAUUCGGUCUCCAACACUAUGCAAUUUACCUUUCUAGAAUGUUUUCAUUUGUGAAAUCAUUUUGCUGCUCCAACAUUAUGCAAGUUGUUGGUGCAGAUCACUUCUGUCUGGUUUGCCAAAUCAUUUUACCUUUCUAGAAAUAGAAAGGUGAUUGUAGUUGUUAGGAAGUCCUAAUAUCUUCUUUAGAUUAUCAUUGGUCGAUGGAUAUUCAGAUCCAUCAUUACCAUGAAAAUCGAAAUGACAUAUUAGUAGAUAAGUUUAUGUAGUAGAUUUUCUUGCCGUUGACAAUUAGUUCUCAAGUGACAAACUGUGUGAUAAAAUCUUUGACCAUUUGUUUAGUCUAAUCUUCUCCGGCCGUAUAUCUUCACUGCAUAUGACAACAUGGAAAGUUGUCAGCAACUAUAAGUUAUAUCCACCGGUUGUGUUUCAGGACACCCAAUUCACAACAUAAUGUAUCAAAUCUUGAAAAUUCAAUGAAUUGCAUGUGGUUGUUUGAUCUGUCCUAUAGAAGUAGCUAAUACAACUGAUCAUUACAUAGGCAUCACGCCCAAGAUUAGUAGACCGACUUCUGCCUGCAUCUACUACUAUUAUUGCACACAUCGACCGCUAUCCAGCAUGCAUCUAGUGUAUUAAGUUCAUAGAAAAAUAGAGUAAUGCAAUAAGAACGAUGACAUGAUGUAGACAAGAUCCGUUUAUCUAUUGAGUAGAUAUAGAUACCAUCUUUUUAUCCUUAGUAGAAACGAUACAUACGUGUCGUCUCCCUUUCUGUCACUGGAAUCAAGCACCGUAAGAUCGAACCCACUAUCGGGCACCUCUUCCCAUUGCAAGAUAAAUAGAUCAAGUUGGCCAAACAAAACCCAUAUACCGGAGAAGAAAUACGAGGCUAUAAGAGAUCAAAGAAACUCAAAUAACUUUCAUGGAUAUAAAAAGAUAUAACUGAUCAUAAACUCGAAGUUCAUCAGAUCCCAACAAACACACCGCAAAAAGAGUUACAUCAUAUGGAUCUCCAAGAGACCAUUGCAUUGAGAAUUCAGGGAGAGAGAGAGGAAGCCAUCUAGCUAGUAACUACGAACCCGAAGGUCUACAAAGAACUACUCACGCAUCAUCGGAGAGGCACCAAUGGAGGUGGUGAACCCCAUCCGAGAUGGUAUCUAGAUUGGAUCUGGUGGUUCUGAACUCUGCGACGGCUGGAUGAAUAUUUCGUCGACUCCCCUAGGGUUUCUGGAUUUUUGAGGUAUUUAUAGAGCAAAGAUGCGGUCCGGGAGGCACCCGAGGUGGGCACAACCCACCAGGGCGCGCCUGGGCCUCCUGGCGCGCCCUGGUGGGUUGUGUUCCUUUUGGCCCAUAAAAAUUCUUCGUAAAGUUUCGGGGCAUUUGGACUCCGUUUGAUAUUGAUAUCCCGCGAUGUAAAAAACAUGGAAAAAACAGCAACUGGCACUUGGCACUAUGUCAAUAGGUUAGUACCAAAAAAUGAUAUAAAAUGACUAUAAAAUGAUUAUAAAACAUCGAAGAUUGAUAAUAAAACAGCAUGGAACAAUCAAAAAUUAUAGUUGCGUUGGAGACGUAUCAGCAUCCCCAAGCUUAACUCCUGCUCGUCCUCGAGUAGGUAAGUGAUAAAAACAAAUUUUUUGAUGUGGAGUGCUGUUUAUCAAGUCAUAUCAUAUUCUUUUCUUUAUAGCAUGGACAUUUGGACUUCUAUGUGAUUCAAAGCAAUAGUCUAGUUUUGACAUAAUAAUUUAGAUACUCAAGCAUAUCAACAAGCAACCAUGUCUUUCAAAAUAUCAACGCUAAAACAAGUUAUUCCUAGCCCAUGAUGUUGGGUUCAUUAGCCCAAAUACUGUAAAUGAAUUUAUGGUAAAAAAGAGAGUCAAAGAUACUGAGGACAACUUGCUACAAUCGUUCCUUCGACAUCAAAACAAAGGGAAAAUACUCUUUCCUUACCACUUCAAGUGAGUCUUACUGUCUUGUGCAUAUUCGGUUUCGCUUACUCGAGGUUAUAGUAGUGUAAUUGAUGAGUUAUGCGUGCGCAGCUUCCACUUUAUUCUGCUAGAGAUUAAGCUUGACGGGGGAGUAGUAAAUGUCUUAGACUCGAGACGUAAAGAUCCCCAGGAUUUUGCGGACAUGACUGCAAUGCUCCAGAAGUAAGUUCAAUCAUUAUCGCACCAUAUCAGCAACUUUCGUUCAUUUCCUGAUAUCAAGUAAUCAUUUUCUUUGCCUGGCACGGUUUGGAAACAAUUCACCGGAAUGGUUCCGGGUCUGCAGAAGGAGCUGUGAUUUACACACCCCCAAAGUAAGUAGUACUAGCUAGUUCCACGCAUCUCUCAUUGAUUCUAGUUUCAUCACUACCAUUUAUCAUGCUUGAUUAUCAGUUUGAUUGAACUCUAUUUCUCAUAAAGUGCUUAUGGCAGGAAGGCGGGAAUAAUUUAUGUGGAUACUAUGUUUGUGAGUUCAUUUGCCGCUCGACCUCUGAGCNNNNNNNNNNNNNNNNNNNNNNNNNNNNNNNNNNNNNNNNNNNNNNNNNNNNNNNNNNNNNNNNNNNNNNNNNNNNNNNNNNNNNNNNNNNNNNNNNNNNAGACCGAGAGAGUCAACCAGAUUCUGGAGGACAUGUUGAGAGCCUAUGCGUUAGACUAUGGGUCUAGCUGGGAUGACAAUCUGCCAUACACACAGUUCUCGUACAACAACAACUAUCAGACCAGUCUGAAGAUGGCCCCUUUCGAAGCUCUAUACGGAAGGAGGUGCAGAACACCAUUGCUGUGGGAUGGUGUUGGAGACCGAAAGCUUUUUGGUCCCGAUCUUAUCAGAGACUACGAAGAGAAGGUCAAACUGAUUCGAGAUAGACUCAAGAUAGCCCAGUCGAGACAGAAGAGUUAUGCCGACAGUAAACGCAAGGAGGUAGCGUAUGAAGUUGGAGACCGAGCCUAUCUCCGUGUGUCCCCACUUUGUGGAAUCAAGAGAUUUGGUGUUAACAGAAAGUUAGCACCCCGUUUCAUAGGCCCCUACAAAAUCUUGAACGCAAAGGAGAAGUUGCAUACAAGAUGGAAUUGCCGGAAGGAUUGUCAGGAGUUCAUGAUGUCUUCCAUGCUUCCCAGCUGAAGAAAUGCCAUGCUGAGAUGGCCGAUAUACCUUUGAGAGACACAGUGCCCCUAGAGGCCAUACAGCUCGACAGUGAUCUGACUUAUGAGGAGAAACCCGUCAGGAUUCUCGAGACUGCGAACAGAGUUAUCCGCAGCAAGAUCAUCAAAUUUUGCAAGGUUCUGUGGAGUCAUCAUUCCGAGGAGGAAGCCACCUGGGAGCGAGAAGAAGAUCUCCGCCGAGACCACUUGCAUCUAUUUGCUAGCCAACCCGAAUCUCGAGGGCGAGAUUCAUCUUAAGGUGGGUAGGUUUGUAACAUCCCAAAUUUUCAAUUUGGAAUGUUUUACAAUUAUUAGUUAAGCAUCUAUGCAUUUUGUUUGAAUUGAGUGGCAUUUGGAAAUUUUCAGAGGCUUUUGAAUUUUUGUUGAAUUUGGAUUCAACUUGGCAUUUGAAAAAUCUACCUCAAUAUCCCUGACAAAUACUUGAGAAAAAGUAUGAGAGGAGCUAACAUGACGCUCCCAAAAUGUCAGAAAAAAAUAUAGCCAAAAGGUUUGAAUUCAAAUUUGAAUUUUAUUUGGAGUUUGCAGAAAAUGUUUUUUUAGUUUCUGUUUUGCCUCUAUAAAAAUGUCCACGCUAUAGGAUUUAUUACCCUGAGAAUUUUGAUAUAUAUAUGUCCUAUAUAAAAAUAUUAUAGGUUUACCUAUAAUUAGUUUUCUCUCUCUGUGGUACUUCAAAAAAACAAAAAAAGGUCCAAGGCGCCAGCCAGGCCAACUGGCCCAGCAGCGCUGAGCCGCAGCCCACCAGCAACCGAGCCGGCCUGCCCCAGUGCGGCGCACGCCCGAACCCCUCUCCCCUCGGUCGCCCGCUCGCUCUCCUCUCUCCCUCUCCCGCUGACCCGCGGGGCCCGCCCUAUCCCUAACCCCUCGCCCACGACAUGCCGCGUCGGAGCACGCGUAGAGCGUGCCCGACACCGCGAUCCUCUCGGGAUCGUGAUCCCUAGUCGCCCUCUGCUCAACGAAGGUGUCCUAUAAAUACCCCUCGGCCUCCUCUGUCGAUCCCCCUAAAAAACCCUACUCCAAAACCCACCACAGCCACCGCCGUCGCCAAACGCAUCUCGCCGCCGCCGCCUCGGUUCGCCGCCACUCCCGACACCGGUGAGCCCUCUCUGCCCCUCCUAGCACCUUCACCCGAACCUCCACUACCUCCCGCACCUCUUUGACACCUUUUCAUCGCCCAGGAAUCGCCGAAGCCGUCGCCCCCGACCUCAACCGCCGCUCGCCGGAGCUGCAGCUCACCAGGGAGCAGUCGACGUCGCCCCGACCACCUCCGUCGUCCCCGAGCUCCCCCGACCUCCACUCGAGCUGCCGCACCCGCCCGACAACUCCGCCGCCGCCCCGGACCACCGUAGCAACCCCGCCACCGUCGCCCGAGCCGCCGUCGUCCCUCGUCACCGCUGUAAGCCACCGGACUCCCUCCACCGUUCGAUCUGCACUGCACGGGUUAGAUUAGACUAGCGAAGGGGUACCGUUUAUUUUCAAUAGAUCGGUUAGUUUACGGUUUAUUUCCGGUUUAGUGCGGUUUAGUGUAGACGGGCCGAUCGGUUGUUUUUAUUAUUAACCGUACGCGUGUUAGCCUAUUCAACGCAUGAGCGCGGUUUAGUUUUAGAACGCCACUGUUUCGGCCCAUUAGCGCGUUAGUUUUUGUUUAGUUUUAUUUUAGUUUCUGUUUUAAAACAGAAUAGUUCCAGUUUUGUAAAAUCUAUAUCUUUUAAGUUAUUUAUUAUUUUUAGUUGAUUCUUUUUGCUCUAGUUUGCAAAUUUCCUAUAGUUGCUGUAGAGAUUCGGACAUGUUUAGGUUUUUAAAAAUUGUUUUAUAUUAGUUUUAGUCAGAUUAGUUUUUCUGCUAUAAAUUGAGUUAGGAUUAGUUUUUUUAGUGUUUCUUUUUGUCACUGCUUUGUUUUGACUUUGUCUAGCAGUAGGAAUUUAUUUGGGCAUUUAUAGUCUUUAUUAAAAAUAAUUUUUAUGCGAAGACAAACUUUUCUAGUUUAUUUAGCUUGCUGCUAUUUUCUGUUGUUUUAGUUUUUUAAAAUUUUAUUUUUCCUAUUUAUAAUUUAUUUUAGAUUAGUUUCUGUAGUUACAGAGGGUGUACAUUUAUUUACAGCAAAAUAAAAAGUUUUAUUUUAUUUUCUUAAUAGUUUUGUUUUAGGUAUAACAGGAGUUCUAUAAUAGAUAUUGGUUUGAAUCUUUUUGCACCUAGUUUGUAUGUUGUUUUCCUUUAUGUUAGUUAGUAAAACCAUUGUUUUGGAUCUGUAAAGAAAAGUGUUAGUAGGUUAAAACUAUUUCCUUGUUGUUGCUUGAUGUGAUGGAAACCUUGAUUUUGUUUUCCUCGAGUUUUCUUUGAUUUUGGUUUGAGUGCUUGUGUGUUUUCCUUUAGUUUGUCAUUAGUGAAAUACUUAUUUGUGCUAUUGUUUGACUCGAUAGGAUUUCCGGAGUGCGAAGCUUGCUAUCUCGAGUCACUAGCAUUUGAAGAUCGUCAGCCAGGCAAGUUAUUUGAUCAUGUUUUACAAUACCUAUGAUUUUGUUGCAUUAGAAUUAUUCCUCCCCACCAUGCAUGCAGUAGGAGAAUUUUAAGUUAUGUUCUUGAGUAGUAUCAUGAGGUAGGAUGAACCCACNNNNNNNNNNNNNNNNNNNNNNNNNNNNNNNNNNNNNNNNNNNNNNNNNNNNNNNNNNNNNNNNNNNNNNNNNNNNNNNNNNNNNNNNNNNNNNNNNNNNAGACCGAGAGAGUCAACCAGAUUCUGGAGGACAUGUUGAGAGCCUAUGCGUUAGACUAUGGGUCUAGCUGGGAUGACAAUCUGCCAUACACACAGUUCUCGUACAACAACAACUAUCAGACCAGUCUGAAGAUGGCCCCUUUCGAAGCUCUAUACGGAAGGAGGUGCAGAACACCAUUGCUGUGGGAUGGUGUUGGAGACCGAAAGCUUUUUGGUCCCGAUCUUAUCAGAGACUACGAAGAGAAGGUCAAACUGAUUCGAGAUAGACUCAAGAUAGCCCAGUCGAGACAGAAGAGUUAUGCCGACAGUAAACGCAAGGAGGUAGCGUAUGAAGUUGGAGACCGAGCCUAUCUCCGUGUGUCCCCACUUUGUGGAAUCAAGAGAUUUGGUGUUAACAGAAAGUUAGCACCCCGUUUCAUAGGCCCCUACAAAAUCUUGAACGCAAAGGAGAAGUUGCAUACAAGAUGGAAUUGCCGGAAGGAUUGUCAGGAGUUCAUGAUGUCUUCCAUGCUUCCCAGCUGAAGAAAUGCCAUGCUGAGAUGGCCGAUAUACCUUUGAGAGACACAGUGCCCCUAGAGGCCAUACAGCUCGACAGUGAUCUGACUUAUGAGGAGAAACCCGUCAGGAUUCUCGAGACUGCGAACAGAGUUAUCCGCAGCAAGAUCAUCAAAUUUUGCAAGGUUCUGUGGAGUCAUCAUUCCGAGGAGGAAGCCACCUGGGAGCGAGAAGAAGAUCUCCGCCGAGACCACUUGCAUCUAUUUGCUAGCCAACCCGAAUCUCGAGGGCGAGAUUCAUCUUAAGGUGGGUAGGUUUGUAACAUCCCAAAUUUUCAAUUUGGAAUGUUUUACAAUUAUUAGUUAAGCAUCUAUGCAUUUUGUUUGAAUUGAGUGGCAUUUGGAAAUUUUCAGAGGCUUUUGAAUUUUUGUUGAAUUUGGAUUCAACUUGGCAUUUGAAAAAUCUACCUCAAUAUCCCUGACAAAUACUUGAGAAAAAGUAUGAGAGGAGCUAACAUGACGCUCCCAAAAUGUCAGAAAAAAAUAUAGCCAAAAGGUUUGAAUUCAAAUUUGAAUUUUAUUUGGAGUUUGCAGAAAAUGUUUUUUUAGUUUCUGUUUUGCCUCUAUAAAAAUGUCCACGCUAUAGGAUUUAUUACCCUGAGAAUUUUGAUAUAUAUAUGUCCUAUAUAAAAAUAUUAUAGGUUUACCUAUAAUUAGUUUUCUCUCUCUGUGGUACUUCAAAAAAACAAAAAAAGGUCCAAGGCGCCAGCCAGGCCAACUGGCCCAGCAGCGCUGAGCCGCAGCCCACCAGCAACCGAGCCGGCCUGCCCCAGUGCGGCGCACGCCCGAACCCCUCUCCCCUCGGUCGCCCGCUCGCUCUCCUCUCUCCCUCUCCCGCUGACCCGCGGGGCCCGCCCUAUCCCUAACCCCUCGCCCACGACAUGCCGCGUCGGAGCACGCGUAGAGCGUGCCCGACACCGCGAUCCUCUCGGGAUCGUGAUCCCUAGUCGCCCUCUGCUCAACGAAGGUGUCCUAUAAAUACCCCUCGGCCUCCUCUGUCGAUCCCCCUAAAAAACCCUACUCCAAAACCCACCACAGCCACCGCCGUCGCCAAACGCAUCUCGCCGCCGCCGCCUCGGUUCGCCGCCACUCCCGACACCGGUGAGCCCUCUCUGCCCCUCCUAGCACCUUCACCCGAACCUCCACUACCUCCCGCACCUCUUUGACACCUUUUCAUCGCCCAGGAAUCGCCGAAGCCGUCGCCCCCGACCUCAACCGCCGCUCGCCGGAGCUGCAGCUCACCAGGGAGCAGUCGACGUCGCCCCGACCACCUCCGUCGUCCCCGAGCUCCCCCGACCUCCACUCGAGCUGCCGCACCCGCCCGACAACUCCGCCGCCGCCCCGGACCACCGUAGCAACCCCGCCACCGUCGCCCGAGCUGCCGUCGUCCCUCGUCACCGCUGUAAGCCACCGGACUCCCUCCACCGUUUGAUCUGCACUGCACGGGUUAGAUUAGACUAGCGAAGGGGUACCGUUUAUUUUCAAUAGAUCGGUUAGUUUACGGUUUAUUUCCGGUUUAGUGCGGUUUAGUGUAGACGGGCCGAUCGGUUGUUUUUAUUAUUAACCGUACGCGUGUUAGCCUAUUCAACGCAUGAGCGCGGUUUAGUUUUAGAACGCCACUGUUUCGGCCCAUUAGCGCGUUAGUUUUUGUUUAGUUUUAUUUUAGUUUCUGUUUUAAAACAGAAUAGUUCCAGUUUUGUAAAAUCUAUAUCUUUUAAGUUAUUUAUUAUUUUUAGUUGAUUCUUUUUGCUCUAGUUUGCAAAUUUCCUAUAGUUGCUGUAGAGAUUCGGACAUGUUUAGGUUUUUAAAAAUUGUUUUAUAUUAGUUUUAGUCAGAUUAGUUUUUCUGCUAUAAAUUGAGUUAGGAUUAGUUUUUUUAGUGUUUCUUUUUGUCACUGCUUUGUUUUGACUUUGUCUAGCAGUAGGAAUUUAUUUGGGCAUUUAUAGUCUUUAUUAAAAAUAAUUUUUAUGCGAAGACAAACUUUUCUAGUUUAUUUAGCUUGCUGCUAUUUUCUGUUGUUUUAGUUUUUUAAAAUUUUAUUUUUCCUAUUUAUAAUUUAUUUUAGAUUAGUUUCUGUAGUUACAGAGGGUGUACAUUUAUUUACAGCAAAAUAAAAAGUUUUAUUUUAUUUUCUUAAUAGUUUUGUUUUAGGUAUAACAGGAGUUCUAUAAUAGAUAUUGGUUUGAAUCUUUUUGCACCUAGUUUGUAUGUUGUUUUCCUUUAUGUUAGUUAGUAAAACCAUUGUUUUGGAUCUGUAAAGAAAAGUGUUAGUAGGUUAAAACUAUUUCCUUGUUGUUGCUUGAUGUGAUGGAAACCUUGAUUUUGUUUUCCUCGAGUUUUCUUUGAUUUUGGUUUGAGUGCUUGUGUGUUUUCCUUUAGUUUGUCAUUAGUGAAAUACUUAUUUGUGCUAUUGUUUGACUCGAUAGGAUUUCCGGAGUGCGAAGCUUGCUAUCUCGAGUCACUAGCAUUUGAAGAUCGUCAGCCAGGCAAGUUAUUUGAUCAUGUUUUACAAUACCUAUGAUUUUGUUGCAUUAGAAUUAUUCCUCCCCACCAUGCAUGCAGUAGGAGAAUUUUAAGUUAUGUUCUUGAGUAGUAUCAUGAGGUAGGAUGAACCCACNNNNNNNNNNNNNNNNNNNNNNNNNNNNNNNNNNNNNNNNNNNNNNNNNNNNNNNNNNNNNNNNNNNNNNNNNNNNNNNNNNNNNNNNNNNNNNNNNNNNAUUGCGUGUCGUUGUCGGUGAUGAUCCGGUUAGGGAUCCCGAAGCGGCAAACAAUCGACCUGAAGAACUUGACCGCUGACUGUGCUGUCACCUUCCUCACUGCUUCCACUUCCGGCCACUUUGUGAACUUGUCGAUUGCAACGUACAAGUACUCAAAUCCCCCGACAGCUCGGGGGAAAGGGCCGAGGAUGUCGAGCCCCCAGAUCGAAAAUGGCCAGGAUAAAGGGAUCGUCUGGAGAACUUGAGCUGGCUAGUGUAUCUGCUGGGAAUGGAACUGGCACGCUUCACACUUGGUUACUUGUGCAGUUGCAUCCUGGAGGGCUGUCGGCCAAAAGAAACCUUGCCGGAACGCUUUGCCGGCAAGUGCUCUUGCGCCAAUAUGGUGACCACAUAUGCCUCCAUGUAUCUCUGCCAACAGCUUUUGUCCAUCUUCCCGGUGAACACACUUCAAUUUCACACCGUUGAGUCUUCUUCUGUACAGUGUGUUGUCGACAAACUGGUACAUACUUGACUGCCGGGCUACUCUUUCCGCUUCUUCUUGCUCUUCAGGAAGUUCUCCUGUCUGAAGGAAACGGACAAUCUGCUGUGCCCAUGCUGGAGCUUGCGGUUCGACAACAAGGACUAAAGGCACAUCUACUGCUGUGGGAACAUCCGCUUCUACGGCGAUAACCUGCGGCUCAGCCGGAGCUUGAUGUUCCCCGGCAAGCUUGCCGGAGCAAAGCUUGUCGGGAGCGUUUGCUUCAACGGAACAAACCUUAAGGCUUGCCAGAGCAGACUGCUCCUUAGCACCCUUGGCGUUGAUCUUGGGGACCUUCUUGGCGGCGGCUACGGGGAGCUCUGCCGGAAAAUAGUCACCAGAAAUCAACUUCCUCUUCUUGCUCUGUCCAGUUGAUGGCGUUACAGACGGUUGAGUCAGCUUGAGCACAAAGAUCCCUAGUUCCACAGGUAACUUAAGUGCGGCGCACUUUGACAGGCCAUCGGCAAUGUCAUUCUGAGCUCUUGGAACAUGUUCCAUCUGCAGGCCAUCAAAGUGCUCUUCUAGCUUUCUCACUUCAUCAACGUAAGCUUCCAUCAAUGGACUCUAAUAAUUCUUGUUCACUUGGCGGACGACAAGUUGUGAGUCACCCCUGACAAUGAGCUUCUUGAUACCAAGGCCUGCUGCGAUCCUGAGACCGGCAAGCAAACCUUCAUACUCUGCGGUAUUGUUCGUUGCUUGCUCCUUGGGAAAGUGCAUAUGGACUACGUACUUGAGGUGCUCUCCGGUGGGUGCGACAAGUAGCACGCCCGCACCGGCGCCUUGCAGCGAGAAGGCACCAUCAAAGUACAUCAGCCACUCUUUGCUUGCUUCCUUAACGGGGAUGCUUGUCUCCGGAAUUUCUUCAUCUUGCGUUGGCAUCCAUUCUGCUAUGAACUCUGCCAACACUCUACUUUGGAUAGUUGAAGUGCUCUCAAACUGAAGGCCAAAGCUUGACAGUUCCAGUGCCCACUCGACAAUCCUGCCUGUUGCUUCUGGAUUUUGCAGUAUCCUCUUCAGCGGAAAACGAGUAACGACUGUGAUCUCAUGUUCCUGGAAGUAAUGGCGCAUCUUUCUCGAGGCCAUGAGAAGGCCGAAAAGCAAUUUCUGCACACCCGAGUACCUUGACCUAGCACCCUGCAGAAGGGAACUGACAAAGUAAACUGGGCGCUGCACCAUCCUUUUCUGCAUCUUCUCAUGCGUCUGUGCAGAUCCAUCUUUGUCGGGACCAGAGCUCGCUGAUGAAGUCCCCUGCUUGUCGCUGGAUGCAUCUGCCGUGGUUGCUGACUCAUCAUCCGCCUCCCUCUCCGCCACUAACGCAGCACUAACCACUUGAUUGGUUGCCGCUAUAUAUAGCAGCAACUUCUCUUGUGGCUUAGGUGCGACAAGUGUUGGAGUGGAGGACAGGUAUUUCUUCAAGUCCUGCAGCGCAGCCUCCGCCUCCGGAGUCCAUUUCAUUGGACCUGCCUUUUUCAAUAUUUUGAAAAAUGGCAGGGCGUGCUCAGCAGAUCUAGAGAUAAACCUGCUGAGAGCAGUUACGCAACCGGCAAGCCUUCGUACAUCCUUGACGCGCUUUGGUGCUUCAAUCUGCUCAAUGGCCUUGAUCUUGUCGGGAUUGGCUUCAAUUCCCCGCUGAGACACGAAGAACCCGAGAAGCUUGCCGGAGGGGACUCCAAACACACACUUCUCGGGGUUUAGCUUGAGGUUGAUCUUGCGCUGAUUUGCAAAGGUUUCGUCUAAAUCUUGAAUCAGAGUCGCCUUGUCCUUGCUCUUGACCACUAUGUCAUCCAUGUAGGCUUCCACAUUUCUGUGCAUUUGUGACUCAAAAGCGUAAUGGACUACCCUUGCAAAUGUUGAACCAGCAUUCUUUAAACCGAAAGGCAUCCGUACGAAACAGUAUGUGCCACAUGGGGUGAUGAAUGCCGUUUUCUCCUCAUCCUCUUCUGCCAUGAAGAUCUGAUGGUAUCCUGAGUAUGCAUCAAGAAAUGAAAGCAAGUCACAUCCAGCCGUGGAGUCAACAAUCUGGUCGAUGCGCGGCAAGGGAAAUGGGUCUUUGGGACAAGUUUUAUUGACAUCGGUAAAGUCGAUACAAAGCCUCCAUUUCCCGUUCGCCUUCGCACUACUACAGGGUUGGCCAACCACGUAGGAUGGAGCACUCCUCUGACAAGGCCUGCUGCUUCCAAUUUCUUGAUUUCUUCUGCGAUGAAUUCCUGGCGCUCCACUGCCUGCUUCCUAACUUUCUGCUUGACGGGCCGCGCAUGAGGACAGACGGCAAGAUGGUGCUCGAUUACUUUCCUGGGAACACCGGGGAUGUCAGAUGGUUGCCACGCAAAUACGUCGACAUUCGCCCGCAGGAAAGCAACGAGCGCGCUUUCCUAUUUAGGGUCGAGAGUGGCACUGAUGGUGAAGGUACCACCAGUGCCAUCCUCCUUGGCGGACACCUUCUUGGUCUCUGGUGGAGCUGCCAUCGUCUUCUUACACUUGCCGGUGGAGCUCGAUGGUGCGUCCUCGAUGGUAGCGCAGCACUCCGAAGAGGUGCGCUUGCCGGAGUGGGCAUCAGAACUCUUGCCAGACUUGGUCUUCUUUGUCUCAGGAGUUUCAGCGGCAAGUGGCAUGCGAUCUGCUAUGGCUGCCGCUUCCCGGUAGAUCUUGUCGGNNNNNNNNNNNNNNNNNNNNNNNNNNNNNNNNNNNNNNNNNNNNNNNNNNNNNNNNNNNNNNNNNNNNNNNNNNNNNNNNNNNNNNNNNNNNNNNNNNNNGCUGCAUGCCCCGUCUUUGAUGGAACUGAAUAUCCCUACUGGAAGAAUAAGAUGCGCAUGCAUCUUGAAGCCAUUGACGUCGACCUAUGGUAUGUCGUCAAGAACGGCAUUCCCAAGGCUGGAGAAGGUGUCACUGCUGCUGAUGUCAAGAAGUUCGUUCAACUGGACUGUACUGCCAAGAAUAUCAUCAGUGGUCAUCUGACCAAAGGACAGUAUGGCCGUGUGAGUGCUUUGGAAACAUCUAAGCUGGUCUGGGACUGGCUCUCCAACGUCAAUGAAGGCGUCUCAACCCAGAGAGAUCAGAGAAUCAGUGUCCUUCGCAACCUCUUCAACCGCUUCAAGCGAAAUGACAAUGAGAAUGUCCAGCUCACAUUUGACCGACUCACUGACAUCACAAAUGAGCUUCAAGCCCUCGGCGCUACUGAGAUCACCAAGCUUGAAGUCGUCAAGACACUACUGAGAUCACUUGAUAGUUUGUUUGACACCCUAGCCCUGAUGAUUCAAGAACGUCCUGAUUUCAAGACACUCGAUCGGUCUGACAUACUUGAGAGGCUCAACACACAUGAGUUUCAGCUUUCUGAGAAAAGAGACAUCUACGGUCCAAACUAUGGGCGAACUCGUGCUUUGAAGGCAAAAGUUGUCUCCUCAUCUGAAGAAGAAUCUGACAGCAGUUUGGAUGAUCCUGAAGACAUUGGAAGGGAACUUGCUAUGCUUGUGAAGAAGUUCCAAAAAUUCACCAAGAAGAAAGGUUUCAGAAAGUCUUCCCGAUCAAGCUCAAGGAAUGAUGAAGCUUCUGCUCAUGACUACAAGAAGAAAACAUGUCACAAGUGCAAGAAACCUGGCCACUUCAUCUCUGAGUGUCCGCAGUGGGACAAUGAGAACAAAAAGAAGAAGAAGAGCAAGGAAUAUGACUCUGACAAGAAGAAGAAGAAGAAGAAAUACUCAAAGUCUUCUUCCAAGUCUUCCUCAAAGUCUUCAUCACACAAGAAGAGCUCAUCUGGCAAGGCACGUGCGUUUGUUGGCAAGGAAAUGGAUUCAGAGGAGGAGUCCGCUUCUGAGGAGGUGGAGGUGGAGUCUGAGGAGGAGUCCGAUUCAGGCAUCGCAAGUCUGGCUGCAGCGUACGUUGCCAAGUCCAUCUUCAACACUGAAGACAAUGCCGUCAUCACCGACACUGAUGCAAAUGACAAGGACUACUCUGCUUCUACCUACUGCUUCAUGGCACGCGGUGCCAAGGUAAACACACGCACUACUCACUAUAAAACAUGUAGUGACGAUGACUCUGAUUGUGGUUCAAAACCCAGCUACAAAACACUUGCUAAAAUUGCAACUGAACAACAGAAAGCUAUGGAACAUAUUCAAAAACUGUUAGACAGAAGCGAUGAUCUGUUAGGUGCUGAAAUGACUCAAUCUGAGUCCUUAAUUGAAGACAUAAAAAAUCUUCACGUUAAGUAUGAGGAACUUGAAAGUCGUCAUGAAACGCUCUCAACAACUCAUGAAAAGCUUUCCUAUGAUUAUCUUCAAAGGAAGCAAGAUCUUGAGAAAUUGAGAGCGGCUCAUGAAGAUCUUCAAAAGGAAAAUGAGUCACUUCGCGCCGAACAGAUCAGCUCCGCUCAGGAAGGAUUUGAACCACCAUGUCUUAAAUGCAUUGAGCGUGAUAAUGCUACUACUGUUGCUGAAUGUUCUACUGCUGCUACUAUUGCAAUAUCUUCAACUAUUGAUGUGGAAACUAACCCCUCUGCUGAGGAUUCCAUUGCUAUUGCUGAUGAGAAUGCUAGGUUGAAGACAUUGCUUGAAACAGGGAUGUACAAAAGUCUUAAAGGGCAUCAGACACUAUGUGAUGUCCUCAAAAAGCAGAUCUUGAACCGAAACCCGAGGAAAGAGGGUGUUGGGUUCGUAAGGAAAAUGAAUGCUGAUGGCUCUUACUGGAAACCUGAGCAGUACCCCAAAACCACAUGGGUUGCUGCAAAGGAAUUUUCAGCAGAUCCAUCCACUCUAUCUGGGUUCACUUGUGCAAACCCCAUUGUCAUUGAUGAAUCCUUUGAUGCAAACUAUAAACUGUUUAAGAAUCAGAAUGGUGAAGUGUUUGCCAGGUACAUUGGUACUAACUGCUGGAAUGAACCGCCUAUGAAGAAGAUCUGGGUUCCGAAAAAGUGUCUGGAGAAUCUUCCUGUGAAUGUCAUCAUGGCACCUCACGUGAAGAAGACAAACCUCAGACCAAAGGCUUCAUACGGUCCAAAGGCUUCAUACAGACAGAGGACUCACCUGAGUCGCACUAACGCAAAUGUUUUGCAGGGAAACCAUACUCAGGCCUAUUGUGACUCCCCCGAUUCAAUCGUACACUAAUCAUGCACGCAAAUGUGUACGAUCAAGAUCAGGGACUCACGGGAAGAUAUCACAACACAACUCUAAAACAUAAAUAAGUCAUACAAGCAUCAUAAUACAAGCCAGGGGCCUCGAGGGAUCGAAUACAAGUGCUCGAUCAUAGACGAGUCAGCGGAAGCAACAAUAUCUGAGUACAGACAUAAGUUAAACAAGUUGCCAUAAGAUGGCUAGCACAAACUGGGAUACAGAUCGAAAGAGGCGCAGACCUCCUGCCUGGGAUCCUCCUAACUACUCCAGGUCGUCGUCAGCGGGCAGUACGUAGUAGUAGGCACCUCCAGUGUAGUAGGGGUCGUCGACGACGGUGGCGUCUGGCUCCUGGACUCCAGCAUCUGGUUGCGACAACCAGGAAGAGAGGAAAGGGGAAAAGGGGGGAGAAAGCAACCGUGAGUACUCAUCCAAAGUACUCGCAAGCAAGGAACUACACUACAUAUGCAUGGGUAUAUGUGUAAGGAGGCCAUAUCAGUGGACUGAACUGCAGAAUGCCAGAAUAAGAGGGGGAUAGCUAGUCUUAUCGAAGACUACGCUUCUGGUCACCUUCGUCUUGCAACAGGCAGAAGAGGGUAGGUCGAAGUCCUCCAAGUAGCAUCUCCAAGUAACAUCUCAUAGCAUAAUCCUACCCGGCGAUCCCCUCCUCAUAUCCCUGAGGUAGAGCGACCACCGGUUGUAUCUGGCACUUGGAAGGGUGUGUUUUAUUAAGUAUCCGGUUCUAGUUGUCAUAAGGUCAAGGUACAACUCCAAGUCGUCCUGUUACCGAAGAUCACGGCUAUUCGAAUAGAUUAACUUCCCUGNNNNNNNNNNNNNNNNNNNNNNNNNNNNNNNNNNNNNNNNNNNNNNNNNNNNNNNNNNNNNNNNNNNNNNNNNNNNNNNNNNNNNNNNNNNNNNNNNNNNGGAUGAAUUUUCCCUAUAUAUUUGCUCUCUUUAUUUUUGCAGUAUUUGUGUAGAGGAACGGUGCCCAGCAGUAUAUAUGAUAGGACGCUCCUGUUGGUUUUAUUCAGAACAUAUGUUGUUUCGUCAAUGACAACCACAUAAUGACAAAAGGAGAGGACUUUUAUUUGUGUAAGAGAUAGGUGCGCUAAUGUUUUUAUCUGGAAAGCACUGUAGCCAUCCAAUUGCCUCCCAAGGGUCAGAACCAGCACCGAGCUACGCGGUCCAUUAAUUUUUUAAUCGGCUGUGCGUACUGUUCAAGUAGGCCUGCAAUCCUUGAGGCAGCGGUUGUACCUGGCGCAUAUCUCAAUGCCAUUGCACGGACCAGAUAGAGGGUCCUGUGGAGAUCGGGCUAGGAAAAACCACACUCACAUUCACAGCUCGGACGCCCAUUCUUCUUCGCCUCUUCAAGAUCUUUUCUUGAUCCAAGACUUGGUUAGGAUGUCCGCCAACUGUACAUCGGUGUAAAUGUAGUUGGCCUUCAUCUUAUCUUAUUCUACUAAUUUUUUUAUGUAGUGAUGCAUCGUAUCAAUGUACUUGCUCCUAUCAUGCUACACCUGGAUUCUCACGUAUAAAAGUUGUAGACUUGCCGGCAACAAUGGACACCACUUGUUUCGUAUCUCGAUUCAUAAGAUCGUCGUGUAGCCUCUUUAUAUAGACAGAAGCUAGGGCAAUAUAUGGGUUGAGACUUUCUGGGUGCACUGCCGCAGGCUGUUGGCAACCGGCCGAUCCUUCCGUGGGCGUUUGCCUUAUCUCGCUGCAUAUACUAGGUAGGUUCGACAUGUAACUCACCUGUCGUGGUUAUCCUUUUGAUUGGAUAAGCAUGAAACCCAACUAAUAUAAUGUUGUGAUUAUCCUUUUGCUCCUAUCAUGCCACAUUUGGAUUAUCCUUUGUUACACGCGGGUUCAAGCAUUUUUUAUUGUUGAAGCUUUUUUCCACACCCAUUGAAGCUUUUUUCCGCUGGUUUGAACCUUAGUCCUUCACGGGUUGAAGCUAUUUUACACACUGGUAACAACUGCUAGUUAGCUGGGUACAGCAAACACCCUUGCCGGUUGCAGCUCACAAACUUCUUGUGGUCUCGCAUGCCAUGCCGACAGGUCGCCGGCCAUGGCCACACUGUGCAGCAUGUAGCCUCCCCUCUGAACUGGCUUCACAACACACGCGAGAAAGCCGGACCUUGCGACCAAAGAGGAGGAGAGAGAGGCCAGGGAGGAGGAGAGAGAGGCCUGUACAUCAGGUCAAAGAAAUAGAAAAAGAAAGAUGUGGGGAAGAUGGCGAAGGCGAUAAAGGGAGUGAAGGAAUAUGAUGCGGUUCACACGUUGCUGGGCCAUUGGAUCUAACUUGAUCCAACGAGCUGCGUCUGUCCGGCGGAGUAUUCGGCCGGCACGCCGGGUGGAGACGUUUUGCCAAUGAAAAAGCAUGUCUGACGUCGAUUCAACUUUAGGGCAGAAUGGGCUAGUGUUGGGCGACCUCGGAAUUGUUGGAUGUGUUUGGUCCUAGGUUAGAUGCUGGGCGCAGGCUCUGGAAACCGCCAUGUUGUUCUGGGAUGUCCACUCCGAUCGCUUGAGUUAUAGAGUUAUCGGCUCAUUUAUAAAAAAAACAUCAUGGACUGUUUUGUGCCAUCCAAAAUCUCCCAAAUUGUGCCUCAGGCUUUUAUAAACCCCUCCAACUAUAAGAGAAGAGAACGGGCCUACGAGUACCAUGGACUCUAGUUCAACGUGCUACUGUUAACUGACGCUCUCCUCCAUCACCACAUGAAUGCAUACUCUUGCAUUGGGUUCGGCAGUCAUACUCAUAUGUUCAGUGAUCUCAACAUCACACAGGCAUCCUGCCGUCCGUGGUGCAGUCUAUUCUCUAUUGGCCGCACUGGCCGGAGUAAAGUAUUCCUCAAGGCCGGUAUGCUAGUGGAAUAUGACGGUCAUGUAUGGAAGGUGGUUGUGUUGAUAUGUUUGCUUUUGCUAUUGGCUUGGCUUUGGUAUAUGUGUCUUGCUUUAUUCGUCAUGUUGCCUAAAGAAAGAAAGCAUCCUGGUCCUAACAAAUGAAUGAAUCGUAUGCUUUGCUUUGCUUUGUCGGUCCAUGCAAACAUGCUUAAGAAGUUGGGCAUCGGCUCCUUCCGCCUGAGCUGCUUUAACAACGUAGAUGGAUUAUAUUAUCUGGUGCGACUAUUAAUUUUCUCUGUACAACCUGUAUUUCAUCUUCAUUUUUGUAAAUUACUUAAGCUGAAUUCUCAAAUUUUAAUUCCAUUUCCCCUCUAUACGAUUACAGCAAACCUACCAGAGCACAAGCAGGUGUGGCAUGUCAUAUGCACUUGUGUCCAGUUGGCGUACAAUACUAUACUAGUUGUCCAAAGCUGACUUCAUCCUAAUGGGAGAUAGUAAUACAAAAUACUUCCAAUUGAUCGCCCAUGGUCGACAUAGGAAGAAAUGUAUUCAUAGUCUCCAACAGGAUGAGGGUCGGAUCGAAGGUCAGAAGGAGCUCAAAAAGUAUAUCACCAGCUACUACAAAUCUCUUUUCGGGCCGCCAGAUGAAGGGAAUGUCACCCUUGACGAGGCCCGAAUAGAUGAUAUUUCACAAGUCAUGGUAGAAGAGAAGAAUAUCCUCACGGCACCUUUCUCGGAAGAGGAGGUGAGAGUGGCGGUGUUCCAAAUGGAACACAAUAAAGCUCCAGGACCUGAUGGUUUUCCCGCAGUAUUUUAUCAGAAGUUUAGGGAUAUCAUCAAGGCUGACCUUCUGAGUUGUUUAAGUGUCUUCAUGCCGAUCAACUUGAUCUAUUUAGGCUAAAUUUUGGCGAGAUUGUUUUGUUGCCAGAAAUUAAAGAGGUCGAACGGAUCCAACAGCUCAGACCCAUAUGCCUCCUUAAUGUCAGCUUCAAGAUUUUCACCAAAGUAGCUACGAAUAGGUUAAACUCGAUAGCUGACCAUGUUGUCCGGCCAUCUCAAACGGCCUUCAUGCAAGGAAGGAAUAUACUAGAUGGUGUAGUUAUCCUUCAUGAGACCGUCCAUCACUACUAGGAAAAGGCCUACUAGUGGCGCACCAGUUUUGCCUACUAAUGACGCACUACUGGUGCGCCACUAGUACCACGCCACUAGUAUUAUAUACUAAUGGUGCACCACUAGUGCGUCAUUAGUAUCUGNNNNNNNNNNNNNNNNNNNNNNNNNNNNNNNNNNNNNNNNNNNNNNNNNNNNNNNNNNNNNNNNNNNNNNNNNNNNNNNNNNNNNNNNNNNNNNNNNNNNGUUACUAGUCCUUUCUUGCUUCAGCGGUAUUGUGGGAUGAAGCGGCCCGGACCAACCUUACACGUACGCUUACGUGAGACCGGUUCCACCGACUAACAUGCACUAGUUGCAUAAGGUGGCUGGCGGGUGUCUGUCUCUCCUACUUUAGUUGGAGCGGAAUCGAUGAACAGGGUCCUUAUGAAGGGUAAAUAGAAGUUGACAAAUAACGUUGUGGCUUUAACGUAGGUAAGAAAACGUUCUUGCUAGAACCCUAAUUCAGCCACGUAAAACUUGCAACAACAAUUAGAGGACGUCUAACUUGUUUUUGCAGCAAGUGGUUUGUGAUAUGAUAUGGCCAAAGUUGUGAUGAAUGAUGAAUGAUCUAUAUGUGAUGUAUGAGAUGUUCAUGCUAUUGUAAUAGGAAUCACGACUUGCAUGUCGAUGAGUAUGACAACCGGCAGGAGCCAUAGGAGUUGUCUUUAUUCUUUUAUAUGACCUGCGUGUCAUCAAGAAACACCAUGUAAAUUACUUUACUUUAUUGCUAAACGCAUUAGCCAUAGUAGUAGAAGUAAUAGUUGGCGAGCAACUUCAUGGAGACACGAUGAUGGAGAUCAUGAUGAUGGAGAUCAUGAUGAUGGAGAUCAUGGUGUCAAGCCGGUGACAAGAUGAUCAUGGAGCCCCAAGAUGGAGAUCAAAGGAGCUAUGUGAUAUUGGCCAUAUCAUGUCACGUUUAUUAUUUGAUUGCAUGUGAUGUUUAUCAUGUUUUGCAUCUUGUUUACUUAGAACGACGGUAGUAAAUAAGGUGAUCCCUCAUACUAAUUUCAAGAAGUGUUCCCCCUAACUGUGCACCGUUGCGACAGUUCGUUGUUUCAAAACACCACGUGAUGAUCGGGUGUUUUAUUCAGACGUUCACAUACAACGGGUGUAAGACAGAUUUACACACGCAAACACUUAGGUUGACUUGACGGGCCUAGCAUGUACAGACAUGGCCUCGGAACACGGAAGACCGAAAGGUCGAGCAUGAGUCGUAUAGAAGAUACGAUCAACAUGAAGAUGUUCACCGAUGUUGACUAGUCCGUCUCACGUGAUGAUCGGACACGGUCUAGUUUAACUCGGAUCGUGUAAUACUUAGAUGACUAGAGGGAUGUCUAAUCUAAGUGGGAGUUCAUUAAUAAUUUGAUUAGUUGAACUUAAUUAUCAUGAACUUAGUCUAAAUAUUUUACAAUAUGUCUUGUAGAUUAAAUGGCCAACAUAGUCCUCAACUUCAACGCGUUCCUAGAGAAAACCAAGCUGAAAGACGAUGGCAGCAACUAUACGGACUGGGUCCGGAACCUGAGGAUCAUCCUCAUAGCUGCCAAGAAAGAUUAUGUCCUACAAGCACCACUUGGUGACGCACCCGUUCUCCCUGCAGAACAAGAUGUUAUGAACGCUUGGCAGGCACGUUUCGAUGACUACUCCCUCGUUCAGUGCAGCAUGCUUUACAGCCUAGAGUCGGGGCUCCAAAAGCGUUUUGAGAGACAUGGAGCAUAUGAGAUGUUCGAAGAGCUGAAAAUGGUUUUCCAAGCUCAUGCCCGGGUCGAGAGAUAUGAAGUCUCUGACAAAUUCUUCAGCUGUAAGAUGGAGGAAAACAGUUCUGUCAGUGAGCACAUACUCACCAUGUCUGGGUUGCAUAACCGCUUGACUCAGCUGGGAGUUAAUCUCCCGGAUGAUGCGGUCAUUGACAGAAUCCUCCAGUCGCUUCCACCAAGCUACAAGAGCUUUGUGAUGAACUUCAAUAUGCAGGGGAUGGAAAAGACCAUUCCUGAAGUAUUUGCUAUGCUGAAAUCAGCAGAGGUAGAAGUCAGGAAGGAACAUCAAGUGUUGAUGGUCAAUAAAACCACUAAGUUCAAGAAAGGCAAGGGUAAAAAGAACUUCAAGAAGGACGGCAAGGAGGUUGCCGCGCCCGGCAAGCAAGCUGCCGGGAAGAAGCCAAAGAAUGGACCCAAGCCCGAGACUGAGUGCUUUUAUUGCAAGGGAAGCGGUCACUAGAAGCGGAACUGCCCUAAGUACUUAGCGGAUAAGAAGGCCGGCAAAACAAAAGGUAUAUGUGAUAUACAUGUAAUUGAUGUGUACCUUACUAGUGCCCGUAGUAGCUCCUGGGUAUUUGAUACCGGUGCAGUUGCUCACAUUUGUAACUCAAAGCAGGGGCUGCGGAAUAAGAGGAAACUGGCAAAGGACGAGGUGACGAUGCGCGUCGGGAAUGGUUCCAAGGUCAAUGUGAUCGCCGUCGGCACGCUACCUCUGCAUCUCCCUUCGGGAUUAGUUUUAAACCUUAAUAAUUGUUAUUUAGUGCCAGCUUUGAGCAUGAACAUUGUAUCUGGAUCUCGUUUAAUACGAGAUGGCUACUCAUUUAAAUCCGAGAAUAAUGGUUGUUCUAUUUAUAUGAGAGAUAUGUUUUAUGGUCAUGCUCCUAUGGUGAAUGGUUUAUUCUUUAUGAAUCUCGAACGUGAUGUUACACAUAUUCAUAGUGUGAAUACCAAAAGAUGUAAGGUUGAUAACGAUAGUCCCACAUACCUAUGGCACUGCCGCCUUGGUCACAUAGGUGUCAAACGCAUGAAGAAGCUCCAUGCUGAUGCACUUUUAGAGUCCCUUGAUUAUUUAUCAUUUGACACAUGCGAACCAUGCCUUAUGGGUAAAAUGACCAAGACUCCGUUCUCAGGAACAAUGGAGCGAGCAACCGACUUAUUGGAAAUCAUACAUACUGAUGUGUGCGGUCCAAUGAGUGUUGAGGCUCGCGGUGGCUAUCGUUAUGUUCUCACCCUCACUGAUGAUUUAAGUAGGUAUGGGUAUAUCUACUUAAUGAAACACAAGUCUGAAACCUUUGAAAAGUUCAAGGAAUUUCAGAGUGAGGUUGAAAAUCAACGUGACAGGAAAAUCAAGUUUCUACGAUCAGAUCGUGGAGGAGAAUACUUGAGUCACGAGUUUGGGGCACACUUAAGAAAAUGUGGAAUAGUUUCACAACUCACGCCGCCUGGAACACCUCAGCGUAAUGGUGUGUCCGAACGUCGUAAUCGCACUCUGUUAGAUAUGGUGCGAUCUAUGAUGUCUCUUACCGAUUUACCGCUUUCUUUUUGGGACUAUGCUUUAGAGACUGCCGCAUUCACUUUAAAUAGGGCUCCGUCGAAAUCCGUUGAGACGACACCGUAUGAAUUNNNNNNNNNNNNNNNNNNNNNNNNNNNNNNNNNNNNNNNNNNNNNNNNNNNNNNNNNNNNNNNNNNNNNNNNNNNNNNNNNNNNNNNNNNNNNNNNNNNNGUAAGCUUAGAUAUUACUAGAAAGCCGUUUCAACAUGCAUAUAAUUUUCAGAAUUCAUUUCAACAUAUGUAUUUGGUGAUAGCGGGACGGGAAAGCAGUACCUGGUGAUUGCAUGUCGGCGACACAAAAGUCCUGGAGCGGGCCAGGAUCAGAGGCAACGGCCUGCCAUGAGACCAAGGCAAGAAGAGCAACGAGGAGAAGGAAAGAAGGGGAGGAUGCCAUUUGAUUUCAGCUCCUUUGGGUCUUCUUUUCUCUUGUGUAUUCCUGUUGUGUUUGUUGGGUGAGUGAUGGUUCGAAUAUGCAGGGGAUGUAUGUGUUUAUAUAGGCGUGGCGAGCAGUGCAAACUCGUGAGCAACGGACAUAGUCAAGUGGAACCGGUCAACGGAUAGAAAUUGUCUUUGGCUGCCCACUAGAUUAUUCUGCAUGAACUUUUCAGACAUGGUCAGCCACAUUCAAAUCUUUGAUAGAUUAUAUAAUCAAUGUUCCCUUUUGAGAUGCCAAAGCGACACAUUUUUCUCUUUAAUAAACAAAGAAGCAAAUUAAGGUACUCCAUCUGAUGUUUUUUUUUCGAAAGGUACUCCAUCUGAUGUACCCCUUAGUAAUAAUUACUGUGAGUAAUAAUUUUGAUUGUGUCCAACAAGGAAGAAAUCGUGGCACGUGGAUCCAUGCAUUAACGCACCUAAUACCACUACUAUAUGUAACAGCCCCUGUCAUGAUCACGUCAACCAGAUAUGCAGUUGCCUGGUCAAAUUUCUCUCCAAGUGGUUGAGUACUUGCAGGAAGAAGCAACCACAUAAUGCACGAUGGAGAGCAAGAGCAGUUAACAUCUUCUUAUUAAAUGAAGGAUCAUGUUUGUUUGCUGCUAUAGAAGCAUAUGAAGUUAGUGCCUGCAAAGAGGAGAUUUAUAAAUAUACAGAUCUAAAUGGAAAUACAUCUCACUAAAUGCGCACUUUUUGUCGCGUCCCGUUGUCAUGAAAAAUAGGAACAAGUUGUUCUUCAGCCUGCAAGUAAUAAUCUACAGAAGUGUGUAGUCUACUGGUCACACAUUCACACAGGUCAAAAAGCAUUGACAUAAAGGAGCUCUCUCACUACCAGUGUUAGAAAUUUUAAGUAAAUAAGUAUAGCAAACGUCUCCAGGUACUGCCAGACAGCAGGUAGGUUAUUUCUCUGCACAGACCAAAGUGUGUCAUUUGAGUGACCUUGCACUGCAGUAAAAUAUCAAUUAUGCAUGGAGAAUAAAUUGAUCUCUAAAUGUUCUUGAUCCUUAGGAAUUUAAACUCAAGACAGGUUUGUAUUAUACACAAUUGCAUAAAAUAGAAAUUAUGCAUGGAAAAUAAAUUGAUCUCUAAAUGUUCUAGAUCUCUAAAUGUUCUAAGUCCUUAAGAAUUUAAACUCUGAAGAGAAAACUAAGACUAUUUGACCUAUUUGAAACUAGGGGCUCAGCUAUGUGGAUUGAGAAUCUUCCGGGAGGCGCAAAGGACCAAGCCGGCCACAACUGGAGAAAAUGAGACUUAUCAUAUACUUGGUCAUAGAUUCAUAGUAGGAAGGAACUGGUGCGCACGAGGUCAGUCAAAGAGCAGUUGAGGAAAGCCAAGUCAUGUUUUUAUUUCUUUGAAAAGGAGGAUAAACCCCGGCCUCUACAUCAUGUAAGGCAAUCGUUUUCUAGCUGGACGAUGACAUAAGUCACCAACUCAUGCGUGGGCUUCUAAAGACGUGGAGUGACGACUACACAUGUUCCUUCCAGAAAUUGCUAUUGAUGCGUGCGAUCGAGCUUUUCAAACUAUGAAAUUGUCCCUUUUCAAAAGAAAAAACCAUGAAAUUGUAGAUUUGCCAAUAGAUUAUUUGUCAUGAAAUCCAGCAGCAUAAGACGACACAGUAGGUAGCGGACUGUGUCAACAAGCGGAAGAAAUCGAGGCGCAUUGAUCCAUGCAUGAAUCCACAUAAUACACCUGCUAUUUUGGUAGCAGCCCCUGCUACCAUCACGUCAAUCAAUUUUCUUUUUAGGAAGAGGAGGAUAACUCCAUCAACGAGAUAUUUACUUGGUCGAAUUUCUCUCGCAGUUGUUGAGUACUUGUAGGAAAAAAUCAAUGAUAUUAUUACUUAGUGGAUGUUCCUAGCUAACCAAAAGGAGAGCUAUGACGAUGGAGCUGAACAGCAACUUUUCAUAUAAUCUUAGUAAGAGUAGUUAGUUUCCUCAUUGCUACGAUUCAAUCAUGACCAGUUCAUUGCAAAAAUAAGUCUAAGUAUCAGACCUCACCUGCUUCUUUUUUAGAAUAAACAGUACUAAUAAACUGAUUAAUUUCUAGGAGGUGUGUGUUUCAGUUUCCAUACAUAAAUGACAUUUGUCAUAAGUCUUGUUCCUCUUGCGAUCCCCCUUGACGAAGCAAAAAGGCAAAAAAAAAAGGGGGGGGGGCACAAGUUGUAGCACUAAAGCGGCCUUUCUUUAUUAGGCUCAGGGCCAUAGUUUAAAUAGCCGGCUAUAGUCUUUUCAGCAGGGUGCCGCUAAAUGGUCUCAUGUACAAAUAGCCCGAUGUAGCCCACUAUAGCUGAAUUGGAGGUCCGCCUCUAUUUGGCAUAGCCCGCUAUUAAAAACAUUGCUCGGGACACACCUCACCUGCUUCUUUUGUUAGAGUAAACAGUACAUCCAAUGCCUAAGCCAUGUUUAGCCUCGCUAGGGAUUGAUGGCUUUCUCCGGCGACCUUGUACCAACGGCUUUGUGGCGGUGCAUGGGUUUGAGGUGUCGGAAGUUGAGGUGGUGGCCCUAGAUGGCAGGUUGCAUGUCUGGGUCUCCUGCGAACAGUGUAGAAGUGUAGUUUGCAUUGUCCCUUGGCUACAGGGCUUGCAAGGGGUGUCGUGGCAGGUGGUCGUGGCAAACUUGUCAUCAUCUAUGGUGGCCAAGCCCUGAUCUAGAUCUGGAGUCCUCGGCCCGUCAUGGUAGAUCUGGUUGCCCGAGUCCCCUUGGCGAGGUGUGCAGGACGGUCCAAACAAAAGCUCGACAUCUCGACGCUGGUGGCAGCGAUGUCUUGGUAGUUAUGUCCCUUUUGGCUCGUCGCCAUGGCUCUCCCACCCUUCGAGCUCAGGGUGAAAAUUCUUGUCCGCCCUGGUGGACAUGGUGGUGGCGACCCAUUGUGUCAUGACCCUCUUGGGGGCUUUACCGGUGAGUGCAUUUNNNNNNNNNNNNNNNNNNNNNNNNNNNNNNNNNNNNNNNNNNNNNNNNNNNNNNNNNNNNNNNNNNNNNNNNNNNNNNNNNNNNNNNNNNNNNNNNNNNNAGUCGCACGUCGAAGAGGCACUUUCUGACUGACAAGUUUGUUGCGAAUGUUCCAAAGCAUCCAGGCGAGGAUCCCAAUGCACAACCAUCUAAUAUGGCGGUAGCGUGGAUCUCAGCGAGUAAGUCAGGGAAGUUGGUGUUGCACCAUUGUCUGCCGACCGUCUCACGGAAGCACGACCACAGGAACUGGGCGGUGGAGCAGGAAAAGAAGAUGUGGUUCGAGUCCUCCACCGUGUUGCACAAGGGACAUAUCCCGUCACCUAGGCCGUUGUGCUUGCGGACUUCAACCCCAGAGGGGAGGCGUCCCCGGAUCCACUGCCAUAGGAAUAUCCUGAUCCUGAGGGGAAGGCGAAUGUCCCAGAUCAGGCUAAAGGGCUCAUGGGCCAACGAAGGAGCAAUGGCCGCGUACAAAGAUUUCAUGGAGAAGCGGCCGGAGGGCUCCAGGCGCCACGACAUGGAGUCAGGGGUGCCCUCUACAUUGGCAGGAGAGCGAUGUCCUGGAGAAGGGCGUCCCACAUGUCGACCUCAAGGGGGGCAAAGGGGCCCCGGAAGGCGAGACGCUCUAAGUCAAUAAGGGCCGUCUCGACGGAGAUCCGGGGGUCAGCCGCAAUGGCAAACAGGCCCGGGAAGCAGGCGGCCAGUGGGGAGUCCCCUAGCCAACGGUCGAACCAAAACAGGGUCGAGGACCCGGAACCCAUUGAGAUGGACGUGCCAAUACGGAGCACGGGGAGAAGCUGGAUCACCGCCUGCCAGAACUGGGAUCCACUUGAGCGCUAGCAAAAAGCUAAAGGCUGGCCUGAAGGUACUUAUUUCGGAUGAUGGUGAGCCAGAGGCUGCCCUCCCCGUUGGCGAUACGCCAGAGCCAACGGGUCAGGAGAGAAAUGUUCAUGCACCGGGAAGACAGGAUCCCAGACCCCUUGGUCCUUGGGUUUGCAAAUGUAAGGACAGCUCACCAUACGGUACUUCUGCUUGUCCUCCUCGCCUGCGCAGAAAAACCUGGACUGGUACUUGGCAACCUCCUGAUGGAGCGUCUCAUGCAGGCUAUAGAAGCUCAUGAGGAACCAGAGGAGGCUGGCAAGCGAGGAGUUUAUGAGGAUUACCCUCGCCGCCUUUGAGAGCCACCGACCCUUCCAGGGCUCGACCCAGUGUUGCAUCCGGGUCACGGAUGGGCAGAGGUCCGCCACGGUGAGUCGCGAGUCACUAAUGGGUAUCCCCAAAUAUGUCGUGGGGAAAGUGCCCAGGCAGCAAUUAAGCCAGUUAGCAAUGCCCUGGGCCUUGUCCGGGGGUAUCCCAGAACCAUCACUUCACUUUUAUCGAAGUUGAUAGUGAGCCCGGACAUCUUUUGGAAGCAUAGGAGGAGAAACUUCAGGUUGGCAAUAUCGGUCGUGGAGCCCUCGACCAUUAUUAUGGUGUCGUCGGCAUAUUGGAGGACGGAGACCCCUCCCCCUCCUACUAGGUGUGGGACCACGCCGUGGAUAUGGCCUGCCGAUUUGGCCUUGUCCAGGAUGGCCGCAAGGGCGUCCACCACCAUGUUAAACAGGAACGGGGAGAAUGGGUCACCUUGGUGAACCCCAGAAAGUGUGGGGAAGAAAGGGUCAAUCUCACCGUUAAUGUUAAUGGUGGUUCGAUCGCAGGAGACGAGCUGCAUAACUCUAGUCACCCAGCGGUCAUCAAAGCCCUUGCGGAGCAAUACUUCCCAAAGGAAGGGCCAGUGAACCGUAUCAUAGGCUUUAUGAAAGUCGAGCUUCAGGAAGACCGCCCGAUGGUGCUCGGAGCAGACUUCAUGAAGAACCUCGUGGAAAACCAACACCCCAUCCAGAAUAAAUCGCCCCUGAAUGAAGGCCGAUUGAUUGGGAUGAGUGAUCGUGUCAGCUAAAAGGGUCACCCUAUUGGCGUACCCUUGGCCAGGAUCCGGAAUAUCACAUUGAUCACAGUGAUAGGCUGGAACUAGCGGAUGUCAGCCGCGCCCGAGACUUUGGGGAUAAGGGUGACAACCCCAUAGUUUAGGCGCCCGAGGUCCAUGGUCCCCAAGAAGAAUUCAUCGCAGAGAGCCAUGACCUCUGGUUUUAUGGUCUGCCAGAACGCUUUAAAAAAGGACACUGGCAGUCCAUCCGGUCCCGGGGUCAAGGAGGGGUUCAUACCCUUAAUCGCGGUGAGGACCUUGUCCUCAGAGAAUGGGACAACUAAGGCGGCGUUAGCCGCAUUGGACACUAGCUGGGCGCCCGACCAGGUAUCGGGCGCCAGAGCGGCCCCACCCCGAAGGGUGGGGUUGAAUAGGGCUUUGUAAAAGCCAUCAACAUGCGCACGAAUGUCCUAAGGGCGGACAAGCUGGGAAUCUCCACCCCAAAGGCAAUGGAUGGAGUUUCGGCAUCGCUGCCCAUUCACGAUCGCCUGGAAGUACGCCGUAUUAGCUUCUCCCCGAAGCACCCAUCGUUGGGUACCGCGGAGCCUCCAGUAUGCUUCUUCAUCUGUAUAGAUGGUAGCGAGCUGAUCCUCAAGAUCAUAACGCAGCAUCCACUCAUCCGAGGAAAUCCCGGAAGUGUCCGCGCCGGAGUCCAAGCCCUGGAUGGCAGUAAGGAGGGCUGUCUUGCAUUCACAGAGGUCUCUGUCAAGGUUGGCACCCCAACCCUUCAUAAAUUGGCGGCCGAGCUUGGCACAGAACUGCCACGAGUCCACUGCCGACAUGUGAUACGUCUCCAACGUAUCUAUAAUUUUUGAUUGUUCCAUGCUAUUAUAUUACCCGUUUUGGAUGUUUAUGGGCUUUACUUUACACUUUUAUAUCAUUUUUGGGACUAACCUACUAAUCGGAGGCCCAACCCGAAUUGCUGUUUUUUUGCCUAUUUCAGUGUUUCGAAGAAAAGGAAUAUCAAAUAGAGUCCAAACGGAAUGAAACCUUCAGGAGCGAUCUUUUUGGAACAAAUGUGAUCCAGAGGACUUGGAGUGGAAGUCAAGAAACAAGCGAGGCGGGCACGAGGGUGCCCGGCGCGCCCCCUACAGGUGGGCGCGCCCCCACCCUCGUGGGCCCCUCGAGCAUCCACCGACCUACUUCUUCCUCCUAUAUAUACCCAUGUACCCUGAAAACAUCAGAGGCGACCACGAAAAACUAUUUCUAGCGCCGUAACCUUCUGUAUCCGUGAGAUCCCAUCUUGGAGCCGUUGCCGGCGCUUCGCNNNNNNNNNNNNNNNNNNNNNNNNNNNNNNNNNNNNNNNNNNNNNNNNNNNNNNNNNNNNNNNNNNNNNNNNNNNNNNNNNNNNNNNNNNNNNNNNNNNNCUCGGCAUCUUCUGUACCAGCUAAAUAUCCAGCAGGUAUGCAUUUCCUUCCCUGCUACAGAUUUCUCUUCUGCAAGCAUACAUCUGUCUCUCUCCCACCAGCACACUAAUUAUUUUCCUGCUCUAGUUCUGAACUGAAUGGGGGACGAAAGUGUGUUGGUGCGUAUACUCAACGGAGAAGAGGAACCCAAAGAUCUUCCGUUAGCGCUCUUACAAAGCAUCACCAAUGAUUUCUCUCAAGACAGAAAAAUUGGUCAGGGUGGAUUUGGAGCCGUUUACAAGGUACUCUAUCCGUCCCAAAAUAAGUGGCUCAAUUUUGUACGUACAAUUUACCAUUGAGCACAUACAUAAAAGAUCUCCAGUCCACUAAAAUAUCACUAGUUCAAUUACAAAAAAAAAAA